rnacentral:lncRNA from 1 species
CUGGAGUGGAAGAAUGAGUCGGUACCCUCAAUUGCUCGCGGAGCUGAAUUGAGACGUGGUUUGAAUUUCGCGGACGAAAUUCUUUUAAGGGGUGGAGAAUGUAACAUACCAGAUUUUGGUAUAAAAAUAAAAAUAAAUAAAAAUAGUAUGGGAAACUAUUUUUAUUGGAUUUAUAGAAGUAAAAUAUAAGUCAGAAGUGACUUGUGCUGAAAUCGGAAUGAAAAUAAAAGAUUUAGAAUUUUCUGUUGGAAACGGGACAGAUAAGUUAGCAGAAAAUGCAGUCUCAGAAAAUUAUGAAAAUUGGAGGAUAAGUUAGAAAUAUUUUUAUGAGGCUAGAUUUAAAGUUUCAUAUUUUUCUGACACCCGUAGAGUGAGAAAUAAAAUCCAAGAGUUAUCUGAUAAAGAUUACAGUUCGGCAUAGUUUUCGGUGACCAAAUGGGGUUGAAACUGAAAACUUAAGAUAUAUUCUUACUCAGUACAUUAAACUGAGCCUGCCUGUCAAAUUUGAGCUCAAAUGGAUAUACAUAAGGAUUCCAACUGUUCCGAACUGCUAAACUGCCCUGGAGUGAAUAGUGUUUUGGGUGUUAAAGUAUAUAAGAAGCAAUGUGCUUCUUCUUCCUCCUUCAGUCGUGCACACCCACACACACACCGCACGCACGCAUGGAGAGAGGAGAGAAACUCUCCUUUCUCUCUCUAAAGACCUCUCUCAUCUCUCUAUAUCUCUUGCUCAAAUUCGCGGCGUUGGCGGAGAAGAUGCUCGCGAACGCGUUGGGAGCGACGGAUCGAGCUUUCAUGCGCCCGUUGGAGCGGCGUGUUUUCGUCGCGGCGUUCACAAUGUGGUAAGCUUUUGGGAUUUGGCUUAAUCCUUAGCUUUAAGUGUUCUAAUAGCCUCUAAUGAGCAUUGUUAGUAUGUUGCUCUAUUUAAUUUGAAUUAUUUGGAAGUUAAUUACAUCUAGGGCUUAAAAAUACUAGUUUUGUAAAUAUAAGGGUUUGAUCUCAUUUGACCCUCCAUAAACCUAAUUGCUAGGUAAAUGAACGCGUUGGCGAAGUCGGUUCGGCGAUUCGUCGAGCCGUUGUAAAGUUAUUAAAGAAACGGACGUUUAGGCUUCGUUUCCGCCUAGAGGGCCGAGGCGACAUCUUAAACCCAUGAAAACGGAUUUGAAGCAUCGUGGCACAUAACCGAAGGCCUUUAAUUUCCGGAUCAUGGAUUGGAGGCCGUUCGGGUGGUCGCGCGAGAGAUCGGGCCAAACCGGGUGCCGGGUGCCGCAGGAGGCCAAUUGCAAGUGUCGACAAGCAAUCGGAAUGCGAAAUCGGGGAUCUCGAUCUGAAACUAUCGAAGUAGGUUGUGACGCACUGGACCUGUGCAAAUUGCGAGGUUCGAGUGUUUGGACUGUGUCCCGAGUUUUCCCAGACUUUCUGGUGGGUCAUUGACAGUGUUCCGACCUAUGGCUCGCAUCCCGAGAAUUGUAGUAUUUUACGUAGCGCUAAGGUCACUAAAGAGUUGGACAUAGGCUACCCUCGGAUUUCACUCUGCACAAGGUGUACCGGUACAUCCUUGAUGGCUGUACCGGUACAUACUUUGUACCGGUACACUUUUGAUGGUUGUACCGGUACACUUGUGGCAGAUUGCGAACCCGAGCCUCGGGUUUGCAUUUUCGUAGGAUGUGUACCGGUACACUUUCCCGUGUACCGGUACACUUUGGCAGAAUCUGAGCAGUUUGAACUGCAGGGGGUUUUUCGCGAUUGUGGCACCCUUAUAACAGCACCCACGCCCCAUAGGGCCUCUCUUGUGCUGGAACCUGAGGAGGAGCAAGGUAGGGAGACCCUCUUUUCCCCUAUUUGGAUUUGAUCUCUAAUUUCUUGGAUUUUGAUGGAUUUCCCUCUCUCUUUCCCUAUUGAAGCUAUUUCCACCAUUGUUGGAGCUUGGAGCUUGGAGCUUGGAUUUGGAGUUUGAUUGAGGGAAGAUACUUGAAGUUUGAGGACUUUGAGAUGGUUUUGAGGCUUUUAAGAGGUAAGUGGCAAGAUCCUUUCUUCUAGUUUUGGAUUUUAGAGCUUUCUUUGAGAUGAAACCCUAGUUUUGGGACUUAGGGUUUAUUUUGGGCUUUUUGAACCUAGGGCUUUUGAGGCUUAAUUAGUUGGUUUAGAACCUUCCUAGGGCUUGGAUUGGAAGGCUUCUAGCUCUCUUUUGGAGCUUAGGAGAAGAUUUCUACUCUUGAGGUAAGUUUUGGCCCUUUUGCUUCUAGGUUAAUGUUUGAUAAUAUAAGAUGGUCGUAAUGCCCUCGUAUCUCAUCGCUGAUCACUUUUAGGGUAUUUUGAGACUCGGGGACAACUUUGUUCGGCGAAUCGAGACCCUAAGCGACGGUUCGGUGGGUUUGACCUAACCUACAUAUGAGAAAUUCUCGUAUAUGGUUACAUAUGUUUCGUAAAUUAAAAAAGCAUGCAUGUUCAUACUAAAUGUAUUUAUUAUGAUUUUUAGAAUGCUUAAAAUGCAUAUGUUAUAUAUAGUAAAAUUUUGGACCUCUAUGUAGUAGAGAGUUGCUUCGGAGAUCUUUGGUUGCAUUUAGCAUUCUUUAUGAGACUUGGUUUCAUGUUCUAUAGUAUAUAAAUGAGUUCGGAUUCAUGCAUUUAAACUUGAGUUUACUUGUGACAUGAAAGAUGAUAAGAUUGCCAUUUAGAAGGUAUGCGAACUAGAGAGCUAAUGUCAUCAAGCGGCAUUGAGCUCGGGACAUGUAAAAACCUAGCGGAUAGGGCCAUUGAGGGAUUUGGAAUACAUGUUGAACAUCAAAUUGCCUAAGUGUCAUCAAGGGGCACUAGGCGUAGCAAAUGUUGAAACUUCACAUUGUGACUUAAACUAGAUCUUCGGGAUGCUAGUGACCAUACCAUGUUAGAGACAUGAGGAUUGGAUAUCUGAGACUUGGACUAUGCUUGCUUGCCAUUUGUGCUCAUUCGCACAUGCUUAUGAGGGUCGCUCCCUACAAGCCGGCACUCCGGAGUUAGCCUACGCGACUUUUGUUCGCUCGUGCGGUAUCGAGAAGCCUACGGGGUCGAGUGGGACAGACACAUUCUAUGUGUAGGAAUGUCGGGCUACCACAGGCACUUAGGCGGCACAAGCUGGACUACCUUGGGUAGGUCCCUGAUUGGAAAUGGAAAUCGACACGGUUUGAGAACGAACAAUCACUACUAGGUAGGUUUAGUAGUUGGAUUACAUGUACAUGCUUAUAGCAUAGGGUUGAGACAUGUAGUAUACUUGACAGUUACCUAUUUCAUCACAGUAUACUUGGUUGCCAUGAUAGAACUUAUACAUCACGUAUGAAUAAAGGUUUGUAACAGUAAACUAUUGCCAUUGGUCACUUUUCCUUAUGAUAGAAUAGAUGUACAACACUUUGACAUCGUGCUUAUGUGAGAUAUAGUAGUAUAGCAUUUUACUUAUGCUUUCUCUUUCAGCAGUUUAUUUACAUGCUCCUUUUUAUUGCUUAUUGCUAUUAACGUUACUUACCCUUAUCUUUGGGGCCUAGUGGAGCAGGAGCCGAGGUCAGUAAUUGCCCACUGGGAACUAUAAAUUAUAGUUCUCACGCCCUCUUUUUCUCGAUGUUUUUCAGAGCCUUCCACUCAGGGUGAGGCCAGGGACCGCGGGAAGGGAGUUGCUUCGAGCUAGCUUCCUUCGAGAACGAUUUGCUAGGUGGUCUACCUCUCGUUGUAUUUUAUUUUGGAGAGGUUGAGAGUUUUACCCGUGUACUAGUGACCACCAUUUUUGUAUUAGAGGCUGAUUCUGUAUAACUUAUGUUUACUUUUAUGUAUUAGUUACGUUCUAUUACUAUUGGUGUAGAUGUUAGAACUUUACUCGCUCUGAUAUCAUUAGUUGCUAGUUAUUUCACUUCUUUUGGUUGUUACAUCUCUUGCUUUACUUCCGCUUUUAUUGUAGACGCCUUAUAUGUGUAGACAUAUGGCGGGUCUGGGCACACUACCGGGAGGGCCUCCGCCGGUCCCGGGGCGUGACAUAGGUUGUCACACCCCGAGCCCGGUCCUAUUUGGCCGGUUCGAGCACGUUGAACAGACGCCGAAUGGACAGCACCUCCUCUAUCCGCCCAAGGCUCAACAACAAGUACAGAACAAGUAUAUAAAUUGCAUAGCGGAAACAUAAAUAUACUUGACUUGCACAAGGGCAAGGAAUAGCCAAAAGUGAAAGUAUUAAACUAAACCAUAUACAAGUACAAUGAUUAACUUUUAACCACAUACAUGCAUUCAACCACAAGUUACAUUUACUUUUCAUUAUUUCUUUUACAUCACAUAUUCCCCAAAAUAGGCCUUUACAUUUAACAUCUUUAAUACAUUUGCAUCAUUCAUAUAACUCUAAUCAUCAAAAUACAAAAGAUGAUAUAUAUAAAAGGGUGUGCAACUACACAAAAUAGAACCCGCUCGGGUGGUCUCUGUCUAUGGCGCGAUACCUUUACCGCGAUCGUUGGCCGGCUCACUCGGUCCCGGCUCUGUGGAAAAAGGGGGGUGAGAACUACAACAAAGUUCCCAGUGGGUUCGGCCGCCGACCUCGCCGACUUUCCUACGAGGUCUAAAUCAGGCAUAGUAGAAGAAAGAAUAGAUAGUAACCAACUAAACAAGUGCAGCUAUUAUGCCUGAACAAGAUAUAAUCAAUGAUUAUGCUCAAAUAGAAUGCUCAUGAUGAAUGCAAGGUUACUUUCUGAUUUUCGGUACUUUUGGCUAACCCGUAGGUUUCACCUCAACCAUCAAGUAUUCCAAUUCUCGGUACUUUUGGCUAACCCGUAGGUUUCGCCUCAACCAACCACUCACCAACCCAAAUCCUUAGUAUCGGGGAGAUACUCGCUACAACCCGACGAGACCAUUCUCUAGGGAGAUACUCGCUACGACGCAGUAAUGACUACUCCGGAGCUCAUCGCUUCAGGGGGAGCUACCACCCUUCGAGCCAAGACUAAUAGGUGAGUAUGAUCAAUCCUUAACUUUAAGGAUGCUAUACUCAUAUGACCCUUAACUUUAAGGUUGUUAUGUCAUACUAUCAACUAUCUCACUUUUACUUGCAUUCUUCAACUUUCAUUAGUGUCACUUUCACUACUUGUUCUUUAUACUCAUUCACAUGCAUUCCUUAAUGCCACACACACACUAAGUGUUCUUUAACUCAUUCUCAUGCAUUCUUGUCAUUUACUAAUGCCACCCAAUUCAUAUGUCAUAAUAUCAUUUUAUUCUUUACCUCAUCUAGGUCUUUGUCACCAUUCAUGCAUACAUAGGGUUUUACAUGUUUUCAAUAGCUCACAAUAUCUCAAAUGUAUUUUAUACUCAAAGCAUGCAAUCAUAUAAAUUCCACUCACCCUACUAUGCAUGAAAAGAUAAACAUGUACAUGCUAAAAAAUGACACUUUAGAUAUAAAAAAAAAUUCAUCGAUUUCGGAAUGCACCACCCACCUUGUAUGGUUGCUAGGGUGCUACGGUUCAAAUCUCAUGAUUUUUAGCCGCCUAUUCUCUCGCCUGCGGCAAAAUGAAGCCGAAUUAGGCUUUUUGCUCAUAACUUUGCGUAGACUCGUCGGAUCACCGAACCGAGUUUAUAUUCUAGUUAGAAAUACCCUCAAUUUGGUUUCUACAAGAUCAGUUUGCCUCAAAACCAACCUAGGGCAAAAGCCCCAAUUUUGGUGCCCUAACAAUGUUAUUUUGCAAUUUUUCUUGGAUUGAUCUUAGAGCUAAGCAAAAACUAGCUUAGAACCAUCUAAGAACUUCUCUAAAACCAUUUUUAGGUCAUUCAAACCAUUCCUAACAAUGUCAUUUUGCAAUUUUUCUUAGAUUGAUCUUAGAGCUAAGCAAAAACUAGCUUAGAACCAUCUAAGAACUUCUCUAAAACCAUUUUUAGGUCAUUCAAACCAUUCUUAGGGCAUCUAACAUGAACCCUAGAAAUCCACCAUGAGAGCACAUGAAGAAAAUAUAGAUUUUCAUAUGUUCAUAGCCUCUACUAGGUUUCUAGCCUUACAAGAAGAUCAAAACUCAAAGAUUUAGGAUAUAAAACCAAACCCUAGCAUCAUUCUUGUAUAAAACUCACCUUAGCCCACAAGCUCUCCAAUAUCCACCUUGUAGGAGAGACCUAAACCUUCAAAAGCUCCAAAUCUCCUCCAAAAUUGUCACGCCCGGGUACCAGCGGAAGCAUAUCCGGUACGUGCACAAACCCGCCAUACACCUGCAGUAUAUAAGGCGUCUACGAAGAAAGCAAGUCGAUAGGGAGCAAAACAAAGAAAGUCCUAUCCUGAUAUCAGAGCAAUGUACAAGUCGAUAUAUUAUCAACAAAAGAACAAAGAGUGUACAAUCCAAAAUCUCGACUAAAAAAAAACAAGUAUCACAACAGAAACAUCUGGAUCAACAGUAAAUAUACAUCACGGGGUAUACAAAAAUAGGUACAAUGGUGGUCUCUCUAUACAUAGGGACAUCACCCUCGGCCGUAGCCCGAGUAGCAAGGUGAUCGACUAGCACGCUCCUAGUAGUCCCUAGCUAGGCGCGACUCCCUUGCCACGAUCCCUAGCCUCUCCUGUAAAAGGCUCUGUAAAAACAACCACCAAAAGGGCGUGAGAACUAUUAACAAUAGUUCCCAGUGGGUAAGCCGCCAGCCUCGGCGAAUUACACCACUAGGCUCAAGAUGUACUAAAUGAAAGCAAUAACAAUAAUUGCAUGAUUUAUAAGCAUGAUGCUAAUAAGUAAUAAGCAUGUAAUCAACAUGUAAUAGCUUUCUACAGUAAUGAACCAUUUGCAUAAAAGAGAUAUAGCAACUUCUGUAAUCAUGAACAUAGACAUGAGUAUAAGCACGAACAUAAAAGUGACUACUGUACACUUUAAGUAAUAAACAUUCAUUACUGUCCUUUUUCAUUUAGUACUUUCCUUUCAUUCACAGGGACCUACCCAAGGUAGUCCAGCUUGCGCCGCGCCUAAUGGCCCCGUGGUAGUAUACACUCCCCACGGCAAUCCACUUCGGCACCCAAUCCCGCACGGGCGAGCAACUGUCGCGUAGGCCAACUCCGGAGUGCCGGCUUGUAGGGAGCUACCCUCACAAGCGUGUGCGAAUGAGCACGAUGGCAAGCAAGCAAAGUCCGUUGUCCACAUGUCUCAAUUUUCAUAUUUUCAUUUGCAAAGUUCUUACCCUCGAUCCUCUGGUCGGAAUUUCAAUAUACAAAUAGUAGUAAGAACUAGUAUCCACUAGAUUGUAAACAUGUAAGGGUAAUGCUAAAUCACAUGGCAUUAUAAUCUUUCCACUAUUAUGGCACUAUCAACAUAGUCAUAAGCAUGUCAUAGUUUUCUACUUUAGAGUCAAGAGAAUGUCAUUGUUCUCUACUUCCUAAGUGCAUCCUACACUUGUUCAUAAGUCAUUCAACUGAGUCGAAUAUGAAUAUAAAUACUUUCAUGUAUAUAUGUUCUCUACUUUUUAGAGAUUUCAUUCUACUUAAGCAUCAAACAUCACAAUGAUAUGUUUCAAAUUCUCUAUCAAUCACAUAGGCACUAAAUGCACUUAUGCGAUUAUUCUAUAGAUACAUAAAGAACAUAGAGGAGCUUCACUUGCUCUUGUUAGGUCAAACCCACCUAGUACUAAGUUCAAAUCAGUCCAAAGGAGUCCCAAGGAUAAGCUCCACUAGGUCGCAAUCCUGCUGAACACGAAGCAUACAUAUCGUAUCAAAAUUACGAUCGAAAUGUCCAAUUUCAGCGCAAUUGCACUUAGCACAUCGUAAUAGCUGAAAUCCCUGUUUUGGCUCAAUAAAUACCUCAAGUUAAGCUUCCAAAAUCCCUCACGUAUCAGCCGGAGGUAAUCCGAAGGUCCGUUGCAAGCCCGCUGUGAACUAUUUCCAAAACGGCAACAAAGUCGUCAAGUGCUAACAAUAUAGUCGGAAUCAUGCGAAUUCAGUUUCCUAACUGAAAUUCCUACUUACCUCAGGUUAGAACACUUCUAGAACACUUCGAGACAGUCCCCAAGGUCAUCCAAUUAGCUCAAAAUGGUUCGAAAACCUUCUGCGAAGGAAUCAUUCAAAACUGCGUCAAUAAACCGCGUAUAGUUCCGAAAUUGAGUUAUAACUCACUACUUAUCCUUCAUCAACUUUAAAGCAGCAUGUCUCUGAGUUUAGAUGGAUACUUAGUAGCCAAAAGAACCCUUCUUUACUGCUGAAAACAACUUCUAGCUCAGUUGGAAGCAACGGAACGAAAAGGCGUCCAAAAUCAAUACGAAACCGUAAACUAGAGAGAAAUCGAGUUAAAAUUACCUCUCUAAAGCUUUCAACCAGCUUCUCAGGUGGUAACCUCACAGAAAACCCAGCAAAAUUCCCUCUCCCCACGAUCCAAACACUUUCCUCGAGUCGUCCAAUCAACGAGCAACGAGCGCGGCGCGGAAACGGCGCGAAACGACGAAUUCUAUGUAGAGAGAGAAAAACCCUAGAGAGAGAGAGAAGAAGAAGGUGAAGAAACCCUUCUCUGAGCUCUAGCACACCCCAGCAAGCUCCUAGAGUUGUGCUGGGUUCAAAUAGAUAGGCUCAAGAUGUGAAAUGACCAAAUUAGCCCUGCUGCCACGAAUCUGCCAAUGCUGUACCGGUACAAGGUAAUGGCUGUACCGGUACAACAAGCAGAAAAAUGCUGAUUUUCGCAGAUCAAUGCAUUUUCUCACUUUUAGCAUUCCAAACAUCCUCUAACUUAUCCAAAAACUUGUUCUAACCUUUUAUAACAUGUAGGAUAGUUCCAUAUAUCAUUCCACACACUCGAACUCUGCUAUUUCCAAAAGUUCAGUGUCUUACAAAAAUCUACCUCUUGAGCUCCUCCUUUAGCUUGGGAGAGAGUUUCUAGACAGAGAGAGGGAGAGAAAUGAGAUGGAGAUGGGUUCUCAGCUGUGAAGAGAGAAGGGAGGGGGUGUGGGGUCAUAUAUAGGUUGCUACAAUAGCAGCUAGGCCCCCCAAAACUUCAUAUUUGCAGCAGACUAAAAUCUGCUGUGAAGCAGACUUGGUACCGGUACCAGGUAUUUUUGUCAACGGUUACACAAUUACGUAGAGGCUAACCCGAGAGCUGCUUCUCUCGGCUAGCAGUCUGGUAACGGUACCAAUUGGAUUUGUCACCGGUUUAACAACUUGACAGAGGCUAACCCGAGAGCAAUUCUGCUCUCGAUUUCUGUAGCGUACUGAUGACACCCCUGGGCUGUCACCGGUUCAACAAUGCUCCUUACUUGAUUAUUGCAUUGAUUCGACGACGUUUCGCGCCGAGCAAUGCUAAAACCUUUCUAACUCUUUUGGAAUUUAACUUUAACCCUUCCAACAUUGUUGGAAUGUUAAAUGGACCUUGUCCAACUAUUUCUUUCGCACACUUUAAUCAAUUUGACUAAAGUUCGAUAUUCUCUAUCGAGUUUCGGUAUAUUACAUGGGUAUCCCGUGAAGUCGCACAAUCUCAGCCAAGUAUACCUGUGCGAGUAUCUCACCUGACCAAGUCGUGUGAAUAGGUAUGAAAUGAGCCGAUUUCGUCAACCUAUCCACGAUCACCCAAAUCGCAUCAUGCUCAGCUUGAGAGCGGGGCAAUCCCAUAACAAAGUCCAUGGUGAUCCUUUUCCACUUCAAAACAAGAAUCGGUAAACUCUGAAAUUUUUCCGCCGGUAGUCGGUGCUCAACUUUCACUUGUUGACAAGUUUAACAUCGAGCUACAAACUCGCCAACAUCCUUUUUCAUUCCGGGCCACAAAUAAAGUAACUUCAAGUCCUUGUACAUCUUGGUGCUUUCCGGGUGUAGAGCAUAAGGUGCACGGUGAGCUUCUUGAAGAAUAACCUCUUUAAUUGCCGAUUCCGUCAGUACACAAAUCUGCCCGCGGAAACACAACAACCCUUAAUUAUCCGCAAGGAAAUCACCAGUGUAAUCAUCAACCAUUUUAGCUCGAAUCAUUUGCAACUCCACAUCGUGAACUUGCUUUUCUUUAAUAAUUUCCAAUAAUGUUGGUUGCACCACCAAAGCCAUCAAUCUCAAGGGUGUAUUAGGAGCCACCAGCUCUAACUCCAACUACUUUAUUUGCUCAAUCAACGGCGGUUGAGUGACUACAAUCAUCGCUAAGUUAUCCGUCGAUUUCCAACUUAGCACAUCCGCUACCACGUUAGCCUUGCCCGGGUGGUAGAGAAUCAUAAGAUCGUAAUCCUUGAGCAGCUCCAACUGUCACGCCCCACCCCGAAACCACUACCAAUUUGGCACGAUUCGGGCGCGGCGGGCGGACCGCCGAACGGACAGCACCUCCCCUGUCCGCCGAAGACUCAACAACAGGAAUGUAUACAAGAAUUUAUCCAGGAAUUUUAAAUUCUAAACAUACACAUUCAACGAGGGCACAAACAGUGCCAACAACAAGAAGAGCAAGUAAUCCACAAGAUAUACGAGUGAAAUAAAGAGAGUACUUUACUAACUAUUACAAUAGUUGCAUUCUUUUACAUUUACAUCAUUUCCCAAAAUGAAUACAUGCGAUCCUCAAAAUACAUAGCUCUCCAACCUCACCUACAUGAAUCUCUCUCAAUACAUAGGUGUGCUAAUGCAAAAGGAAAGCUACUAUACUACCACGGUCUCACUGAUCGUGCGCGAUGCCCUUGCCGCUGUCCUCGCUAGGUAGACCUGUACCUAUCAUUGGAAAUAGAGUGGGGUGAGAACUAUCUUCCAUAGUUCCUAGUGGGCUCGGCCGCCGACUCCGCCGAUCUCCCCAUUAGGUCCAAGUGGGCACAAGUAACAACAAGUAGAUAGAUAGAUAGAUAUCUGAAAGCUGUAAAGGCAUAAAGGAAAACUAUGAUACUAUGCCCAUAAUCAUGUAUAAUGAAUGCAUGCAUCAUAUAGUAAAGGUUUACUAUCAUGCUAACAAAUUUGAUCCAUGUUCGAAUGAUAAUAUUCCAUGACAUUGUUAACUGUUCAUUUACCCAAUCUGUGGCGAAGCCCUUAAGUUCGCCCUCGACUCACCUUGCCAUCCCAUUGGGUGGGGAGCUCCAUGUGCUCCUAGACGCGGGACCGUCUGUGGACCUCCAAGUGGUCCGGACCUCCAAGUGGUCCAAAUCGCUCGAUACUCCGAAGUACUCGACGACAAUACUCUCCAUGUAAGGAUAUGGAUGUCUAUACUACCCCAAAACAGACCGUGAGCAUGAUCUAUCCCCUCCAUGUGGGGACACCCUACCUCUAGGGCCAACAUCUCAAUAGACACUCUUCUAUAUCCUCUCCAUGUGAGGAUACCCUAUGAACUAGGGUCAACAUCUCUCGCGGAAUCAUCUGUUCCCGACAUUCAUGCAAUGCUAUUUAGCUUUUCUAAAUUCAUUGUUCACAAGGCAUUUUCUAAGGGAUCCACCUAUCCCUAGGUCCAUCGACCUCUAGUGUAAAAUACACUAUAUUAAUGCCACUCGAUAUGUUCUUUAACAUUUUAUGCCACUCGUUUGUUCUUUAGCAUUUAAACGCCACUUUCUAUGUCACCAAACACCCAUCGUGUUUCAUCUCUUUUCUUUAGCACUAUAGGAUUCAUGUUCCGACCCAAUCCUCACCUAUCCAAGUCACCAAGCGUUCCAUGUACACUAGGUUAUCAAUUAGAAAGCAUAAGGAAAGGUACUACAAUGCAAUCCUACAAUGCAACAUGCAAGAGAUGCAAAUCAUGUAUUUCUAAGACAUAGAAAGGAGUUCGGUUGCUUCGGGAUGACAGCCCCCACCUUUUCUCUUUGUAGAGGUCCUAGAAGCGUUCCCUGACACUUCAAACUGCGUGUUCCCGGCCUCUUUGGGAGAAACGAAGCUAGGUCGGUCCUACUUUGCCGAUAGUCCUACACCCGCUCGACGAAUCGUAAAUCUGACUCCGCCAACGCGUUGGGACACCUAGCAAUUAGGUUUACAAAGCCUCAAAUGUGAUCAAUCUCAUCUAUAUCCAAAAAUCCCAUUUUGGGUGCCCUAGGGUUAGCAUCAUGCUAUUUGCACCAUGAAACCCUAGCCUCUAGCUCUAGUCCACCAACAAUGGUGCUAGAAGUCCAUUUGACCUCAUCUCAAAGCUCAAAACCCAAAAACCCUAAGUUCUACAAGCUAGGGUUUGUAGCUUACCUCUUGAGCUACACCAAUGGAGAGGAGAGGAAGAGAGGAAGAUGCUCCAAGCCUUCUCUAGCUUGUUCUUCUCCUUCUUCUUCUUCUUCUCCUCCUUCUUCUUCUUCUCUUCCUUCUUCUCCUUCUCUUUUGUUCUUUCUUUUCUAUAGAGAGAGAGGGAGCAAGAGAGAGUGAGAGGGAGAGAGAAUGAGAGGUUGAGGGAGAGAGAGAGGGUCUACAUACCCCUCUAUUGUAACAAAAUCCAAUUUAGCCCCUCAACUUUCCAUCCAUUGCACUGCCCUAACUGGGCAUUUUGCGCCUAGAGGGACCGGUCCCUCGUCGGGGAGACCGGUCCCCGAGAGCAGUCCCCGCGGCUAGAAGGCCUCCUCGCGUUCUGGAACCGGUCUCUCCCCGGGAGACCGGUCCUCGGGAGACCAGUCUUCGCCUGAGAGACCGGUCCCCGAGAGCUUGAUUUUCAGGACUUAGCCGAUUUUGGCCUUCUCUCGCUGGCGUCACACACGGGGACCGGUCCUCUCAGCCAGGGACCGGUUGCAUCAAAGAUCCCCAGCAACCACCAGCCUCGGGGACCGGUCUCUCCCUGUCAGGGACCGGUCCCUGAGAGCAAUUUUAGCCCAGUGCAGGUUUUGCACUAUAUGCUCUCGCGGACACGUUUCUAAUGCACUUUUUGUGUUUUGGACAACUUUAGCUUUUCCGAAGGAUACUCACUCGACAAUUAGUCGAUCCUAGACGAAGUACAACUCUUGGAUUUCGAAAAUUCACUUCCUUACAUCCUCCCCUCCUUAAAAGGAGUUUCGUUCUCGAAACGAACUAAUCUUCUAACUUUAAUUUAAAUUCAUACCUUACUCCUCAAGUAGAUGAGGAUGGUGCUUUCUCAUCAGAUCCUCGAGUUCCCAGGUGGCCUCACGAUCAUCAUGAUUGCUCCACCUAACUUUUACAUAGGGAAUUUCUCGAUUCCUCAACUUUCGCACCUCUCGUGCGAUAAUCCCUAGCGGAAACUCUUCAUAGCUCAAGUCUCCUUGAAGUUCCGGUGGUUCAUAUAGCAUCGCGUGCUCGGGGGUCGUGAAUAUACUUGCGGAGAUUGGAGACAUGGAACACAUUGUGAACAUUCGCGAGCUUCGGCGGCAAAGCGAGUCGAUAGGCCACCGUGCCAACUCGCUCCAAUAUUUCAUAGGGUCCAAUGUAUCGGGGACUCAACUUUCCCCUGCACUCCAAACCGCUUCACACCCCGCAUCGGUGAAACCUUCAAGAAUACGCGGUCGCCCACCGCGAACUCUAUAUCUCGUCGGCGCCUAUCUGCAUAGCUUUGCUGUCUCGACUGCGCCGUGAGCAAUCUCUUGCGAGCAAGGCGAACUUUCUCCUCGCCUUCUCGCAACACAUCAGGGCCGAACUCAGCCCGCUCACCUACAUCGCUCCAAUGUAUAGGAGACCGACACGUCCGCCCAUAAAGAGUCUCGAACGGUGCCAUCUCUACACUAGCAUGAUAACUGUUGUUCUAGGCGAACUCGGCCAAAGGUAGGUGAUCACACCAACUUCCCUUAUAGUCGAUGACACACGCUCGCAACAUGUCCUCCAGAGUUUGAAUGGUUCUCUCUGUUUGCCCAUCGGUUUGAGGAUGAAAUGCAGUGCUAAAAUCGAGCCGUGUGCCAAGGGCUUCCUGCAGGCUUUUCCAAAAGUGUAAAGUGAACCGGGGGUCACGAUCAGACACGAUCGAAUUCGGCACCCCAUGCUGUAAUACACUGAACUCUUUCAAAUUGCGAAGUUCGAGUAUGUGGAAUGGUGUGUGGAUCACUCCUACAUGUUCUAAAAGGUUAGAACAAGUUUUUGGAUAAGUUAGAGGUUGAUUGGAAUGCUAAAAGUGAGAAAACGCAUCAAACUGGCGAAAAUCAGCCUUUUCUGCUUGCUGUACCGGUACAGACAUCACCUUGUACCGGUACAAGCUGGCAGAUUCGUGGCAGCUUGGGUAUUUUGGUCAUUUCACUUUUGACACCUAUCUAUUUGAACCCAGCACGACUCUGGGGGCUCAGUGAAGGUUGCUGGAGCUCAGGGGAUUGUUCUUCCACCUUCUUGUUAUCAAGGGUCACCCAUUCGGCGGUCGGAGCCGCUUAAUGUGGUGAUCCGAGUACUACAUGAUUAACUUUCGUUAUUGCUAUUAACGUAUUAAUUAUUCGUACUACGAUUAUUCAUUAUUCGUACAUUAGUUGUACAUUAUCGAAAGAUGGACAUUAGUUCGCUCAUUUUCUCUUACAGUGACAAGAGAUGCAAAGUAUUCACAUAAGAUGUGAACAAGUAUUCAGUAAGUUGACUUAACUUAUAUUUCUAUUUAUGCAAGUACAUAUACACAAGAGAUGAAAUAUCUCUAAAGUUCAGUUAAAUGAAGAGUUCAGGAUAUAGUUUGUGGUUUCGCGUGUUGUUGUGGUUAAGAUAUCGUGUAUAUCUUGUAUCCCCUCGAGGUGAACGAGACCAAUCCAGGCUGGGUGGAUAAUGCUUCGAGGUGUGUCAGGUUCCUCAAGGUUCCUAGUCGAGGUGAUCCAGCGUUAGGACGACUUGUGCUUCGUAUGUAUAGCAUAGUUUUAAUGCUAGCUUUUCCGGUUAAAGCCGCGUUAAUGUGAAGCAUGUAACCUUAUCGAAUUUAGGGAUAAAACCGAAUCAAGUUAUGGAGUGCAAUUCGAAGGUUUUCCAGGAGGUUCCGGUCAGCUUCUGCCAGGUUCCCAGUUUAUGGGAGAGCGACGCUUGUUAUGGCUUUGCCGUAGUUAUAACAGCUAAUAUUCGAUAUUAUCAGCUUAAGAGCGUUCUAAAUUAAGGUUCGACUUUAAGGACGAAUGGGCUUCAACCUUGUGGAAGAUUUGAGUGAGGGUUUCAGUGAUUAAGUUAAUUAUUCCAAGUUUUUGGGCGACGUUUCUUUUGUUAAAAGUUUAACAUAGUUAAGCCAGCGUAUUGGGCAUAUAUCAGGCUUUAUCGAAGGCUUUACCGAUUAAGAAGGUUAAUUCGAAGUUUCAUCGAAUAGGGACCAGAUGACUCUAAUUAAGUGUCAAUUUAUCGAGUAGAAAUUCACGAUUUUGGAGUCAAAUUUUGUCGAUCUUCGUUGUUGAGGUUUUGAUAUGUAUUAAGCAGGUUCUUUAACGGCUUUUACCUUUUGCACUCGGCGAAUGGAGCGGUUCGGAGGUUGGUCAUCGAGCGACCAGGUCUCGACGCUUCUCUGAAGGUUUCAUGAGAGAGUGUACAAGUGUUCCCGAGGCAUUGUGAGCGUUGUUCGCUGCUUGUUCGCUCCGCUGCUUUUGCUCGUUUUAGCAGCUAAAGAUACAUCUCUCUCUUUUUUGGGAUCUCUCUCUCUCUUNGCUAGUCGAUCACCUUGUUACUCGGGCUACGGCCGAGGGUGAUGUCCCUUUGUAUAGAUAGGCUACCAUUGUACCUAUUUUUGUAUACCCAGUAUUGUAUAUCUCCUGUUUGGAUCUGAUGUUUUAGUUGUGAUACUCAUCUUUUGGUUGAGCUUUUGGAUUGUACACUCUUGCCCUUUUGUUGAUAGUAUAUCGACUUGUACAUUGCUCUGAUAUCAGGAUAGGACUUUCUUUGUUUUACUUCCUAUCGACUUGUUGCUUGUAGACGCCUUAUAUACUGCAGGUGUAUGGCGGGUCUGUGCACGUGCCGGAUAUGCUUCCGCUGGUACCCGGGCGUGACACAUGCAGUCUCACUAUCUCAUCGAGGUAUACCUGCGCUAACUUGUCACCCGACCACGUGGUGUGGAUCGGUAAGAAUUGAGCCGACUUCGUCAGUCGGUCCACAAUUACCCAAAUUGCAUCGUGGCCGCCCGUUGAGCGAGGCAAGCCGACCACGAAGUCCAUUGAUAUAUCCUCCCAUUUCCAAACGGGGAUUGGUAGGCUUUGAAGCUUUCCCGCUAGAAAUCGACGCUCGGCCUUCACCUGUUGGCAUGUUAAGUACUUCGCCACAAAGCGUCCAAUAUCACCCUUCAUUCCCGGCCACCAAUAGUGCAUUUUUAGUCCCUGAUACAUCUUGGUGCCGCCCGGGUGAUCGGCAUAUGGAGAUCGAUGUGCUUCUUGUAGAAUUAGCUCGCGAAGCUCUCCAUUCUUCGGCACACACCAUCGGUUUCAAAACCGAAGUGCACCAUCGGCGUUUAUACUGAAAUCGCCACCUCGACCGUUCUCGAUGUUUCGCCGCACCUUUUGGAGUUCUGGGUCCGCAGGUUGUAGAUCUUUAAUCCUCUCUAAUAAGGUCGGUUGGACAACGAGCGCCAUCAACUGGGCCGGAAUCUCGGGAGCAACCACCUCAAGGUUCAUCCGCUCCAUGUCUAACCACAAGGGUGAUUGAUUUGUAACCCACAUCGAGAGGUUCUCCGCCGACUUUCUGCUCAAUGCAUUAGCGACAACAUUAGCUUUCCCGGGGUGGUAAAGGGUAUCAACAUCAUAGUCCUUUAACAAUUCUAACCACCGCCGUUGUUACAUAUUGAGUUCUUUCUGUGUGAACAGAUACUUCAAAUUCUUAUGGUCGGUAUAGAUUUCACAAUGGGCACCGUACAAGUAGUGCCGCCACAGCUUCAAGGCGAAGAUUACCGCCGCUAACUCCAAAUCAUGGAUGGGGUAGUUCUUCUCAUAGCUCUUCAGCUGACGGGACGCAUAAGCGAUUACCUUCCCGUUUUGCAUCAAAACACACCCCAAUCCUAGAUAGGAAGCAUUGCUGUAGACUAUGAAGUCUUCGCCCUGCACCGGUAGAGCAAGCACCGGAGUCAAAGUUAAUCUUUGCUUCAACUCUUUGAAACUCCGGUCGCACUCUUCGCUCCACAAGAACUUGGUGCCUUUCUGGGUCAAGCGGGUAAGUGGAAUCACUAUCUUGGAAAAGCCUUCCACGAACCGCCUAUAAUAGCCCGCCAAGCCUACGAAGCUGCGAACCUCCGUGACAUUCGUCGGGCGUGGCCAAUGCUCGAUUGCCUCAACUUUCCUCGGGUCUACAGAAACUCCACCCGCGAAAAUCACGUGCCCUAGAAAUGCCACUUCUCGGAGCCAGAAGUCACACUUCUUCAACUUAGCAUACAGCUUCUCCUCCCGAAGGGUUUGAAGCACAAUCGUCAAAUGCUCGGCAUGUUCUUCGUCACUACGAGAAUAGACCAAUAUGUCGUCUAUGAAGACCACGACAAAUCGAUCCAAAAACUUCCUGAAAACACGGUUCAUUAAGUCCAUAAAUGCCGCUGGAGCAUUCGUGAGUCCAAAUGGCAUGACCGUGAAUUCGUAGUGCCCGUACCGCAUACGAAACGCGGUUUUCUGCACAUUCUCCGGCUUGAUUUUCAACUGGUGAUAGCCGGACUGCAAAUCUAUUUUCGAGUACACACAUGACCCCUGCAAUUGAUCGAACAGGUCAUCGAUUCGGCGUAGUGGGUACUUGUUCCUGAUCGUGACUCUGUUCAACUCUCGAUAAUCCACGCAGAGUCGAAACGAUCCGUCCUUCUUCCGUACAAACAAUACCGGGGCUCCCUACAGUGAUACACUUGGCCGGAUAAACUACUUGUCAAGAAGAUCUUGCAAUUGACUCCUCAACUCUUUCAGUUCCGCUGGCGCCAUUCGGUACAGAGCCUUCGAGAUCGGUGCGGUACCGGGAACCAAGUCUAUGACGAAUUCGAUCUCCCGAUCCGGUGGUAUCCCCGGCAACUCCGCGGGGAAUACAUCCGGGAACUCCCGCACCACCGUUAACUUCUCCAAUGUUCCACAACAGUCGCUAAGAAUGCCGUGCAACUGCUGUUAACCAACUUCCUUGCUCUCGUCGCCGACACCGUUGCGACGAAACACGAGCUUUGGCAAGCCCGGUAUGUGAACUCCUUUUGUCCUGGCUCACGAAACGUAAUUACUCUGCUCUUGCAGUCGAUCGUUGCAUGAUAUUUCGAGAGCCAAUCCAUGCCUAGAAUAACAUCAUAGGCCUCCAGUUUCCUGAGUUCUAACAUCCAUAUAGGCAUUAUGAAGUCACCCACUUGUACUGGACACGACGCACACUCCGAGUAAGUGUUAAACGUCGACCCAGGGCCUUCAACUCGCCACUUGUCACUCGCCUCUAUGAGUAUGUCAUGCAUGCGUGCGCAUGCUCUACUAAUGAAUGAAUGCGUGGCUCCUGUAUCAAAUAAAGCCCUGGAGCGAACUCCGUUAAUUAAAACCAUACCUGCCACAAGGCGAUGCCCUUCCACCUCCGUAGGUUCCUCGGUUUGAACCUGAGCGGCAAAUACCCGUCCGCUCGGGGCCGAUCGCGUCAUCUCGGGUUUACGCGACAUCAUCGCGCGUCCCGCCGACGUCGCCGUCGGUGGAACUCCUCCAUAGCGAGCCGGAAUCACCGGCGCCAAUGCAAUCGAUGGGGCGGGUGAGGCUCCUCCUUCUAGGCAGUCCCGAAUGAAGUGCCCCGGCUGCCCACACUUGUAGCACUUGCCUCGACCUUGCUCAUACCGGGAGACUGGGUGGUCUCCGCCGUAUAUGAUGCACCGUCGCGCUCCACCGCCCUUUGGCUGAGUCCGCGGAUACUUCGGGGGCCUCUUGGAACGUGCUUGUCCCCCCGAACCGCCGCCUCCUUGGCGUUUCUUGCCCUUGUCCUUAGUCUCGGCCAAUGCCUCGCGCUUCUCCCAAACGUGGGCGACUCUGUGCUCCGCCCAAAGUGCCCGGUCGAAGACCUCUACGAAGGUUGUGAGCUUGAGUAUCUGCACGGCCUUAUAAAUCCCUGGCCGACGUCCUCGCAAGAACCAAUCGGCCCGGUCUCGGUCAUCCUUCACUACGUCCGGAACACAGUCAAUGAUGUAGGAGAACUCUUGUUCAUACUCCGCCACUAGACGGUCCCCUUGCUCCAACUUGCGGAACUUCUCCUUGAGCUUCCGCUUAAGCGUAUCGUUGAAGUAGUUGGCGAACAUCUCCCGCUUGAAUUCCUCCCACAUCAUUGGCGGAAGGUUAGAAAGCCAAUCCCUUUUUACGCGCUUCCACCAGACUUUCGCCUCCUUCUCCAAGCAGUGGGUGGCAAGGUACACUUUGUCCCUCUCCAAGGUACGCAGGUCCUCAAAGAGAGCCUCCAUCGAGUCGAUCCAAGACUCGACCAUCGCCGGCUCCACCUUUCGCCCUCAAAGGUAGGUGGAUGGAACUUGUUGAACUUAAUAUAUAAGAGCCGCCAAUGCGCGCUCUCCCUCCACAUCUUCGGCCGUCACCUCGGGUGUAGCCGAUCCCGACGCCGCUGGAGGAACAAUUGCCGGCGGGGGACGUGCCGCCACCGGAACCGCCGCUAUACCCUCACCCUCAGCUGGCUCAGGCACGCGAGUCGAGGGUGCGGGUAUAUCGCGUCCACCCGUCGCCGUUGCGGCCGCCACCGCAGCCUGCCGCUCCAAGAGCUCCUGGAGCCGCUCGAAUCGGGUCUCCUAGCGCUGCACCACAUCGGUCAGUGCGGUCACUUGCGCCUGCAACUGAUCCAUCACACUCGGUUCAUCCUGCUCGGGAACCUCAGGUGUCGGUGCCGUAGUAGAUCUGCGUGUGUAGCGUCUUGGAGACAUUAGUCCCUGAAACGCAAAUACUUGGUCAGUCAUCUUAACCAAUUAUCUCGUCGAAAUUACGACACAUGACGAAUCCACAACAAAAUCGGGCGGAAGCACACAAGUGUACUGGUUCUAGACUCUUGGCAUCAUGUCGUCAGCCGCCGACAAAACCACCUCAAAUCAAGAAUUAAUACCACUUGAAUCCGUCUCUAUUCACAACUAGAGACAUAUUACCAACUUCGACCCAAUCGAAUUAACUUCCGCCAUCGUUAUAGGUUCACGUUCCGCUCACGUACCUAUAACCUUAGGGCUCACCAACCUAGGGUCUCCUAGGUCAUCCUAGACUCUCUCUCUUUACUUGCUCUUAUUGCUCUGAUACCACAUGACUGUCACGCCCUGCCCCGAAACCACUACCAAUUUGGCACGAUUUGGGCGCGGCGGGCGGACCGCCGAACGGACAGCACCUCCCCUGUCCGCCCAAGGCUCAACAACAGGAAUGUGUACAAGAAUUUACCUAGAAAUUUCAAAUUCUAAACAUACACAUUCAACGAGGGCACAAACAGUGCCAACAACAAGAAAAGUAAGUAAUCCACAAGAUAUACGAGUGAAAUAAAGAGAGUACUUUACUAACUAUUACAAUAGUUACAUUCUUUUACAUUUACAUCAUUUCCCAAAAUGAAUACAUGCGAUCCUCAAAAUACAUAGCUCUCCAACCUCACCUACAUGAAUCUCUCUCAAUACAUAGGUGUGCUAAUGCAAAAGGAAAGCUACUAUACUACCACGGUUUCACUGAUCGGGCGCGAUGCCCUUGCUGCGGUCCUCGCUCGGUAGACCUGUACCUACCACUGGAAAUAGAGUGGAGUGAGAACUAUCUUCCAUAGUUCCCAGUGGGCUCGGCCGCCGACUCCGCCGAUCUCCCCACUAGGUCUAAGUGGGCACAAGUAACAACAAGUAGAUAGAUAGAUAGAUAUCUGAAAGCUGUAAAGGUAUAAAGGAAAACUAUGAUACUAUGCCCAUAAUCAUGUAUAAUGAAUGCAUGCAUCAUAUAGUAAAGGUUUACUAUCAUGCUAACAAAUUUGAUCCAUGUUCGAAUGAUAAUAUUCCAUGACUUUGUUAACUGUUCAUUUACCUAAUCUGUGGCGAAGCCCUUGUGUAAUAGACUGAAAAUUUGAUUAUAAGUUAAUUGUGAUUAAAGUGAUCACAAUAAUGCUAAAAAGGAAAUUAAAUGUUCCUGAACUUAAUUAGUACCUUGAGAACAGCAAGUAACAUGUUUUGGAAGUGAGAGAACAGGCUCGAAGUGAAUUGGAAGGGUUAGAAACCUCCAAUCAACAUGAUGCCAAAUUGAAAAUUAAUUGCUUCCAAGUUAAUUUGAUGAAUUGGAAAUUAAUUGGAAAUUAAUUGCUUCCAUUCUAGCCCACUCAUGUAACUACUACAAUGCCUGUACAAAGCUGAAAGAAAGUAAUAUAGGAAAACUGUAAAUAUGCAUGCAUAUUGUAAUAUACCACUGCCCAAUCAAUCUAGCUAACCAUUUGGUUAACUGCAACUCACCAACUCAAUCCCUGGCGGGCCCUAAGCUGCCUCCCGACGGGACCGUCUGCUGGACAGAUACUUUAGUCCAUGGGCAAAUACUUUAGCCCAUCACGUGACCACUCCGGAGUGCACUGCUCGGGUGGAGCGACCACCGCCGAGCUCAAAACAGACUAUGUGAGUAUGAUCUGAUCCCCCUUUAGAGGAUUCCACUGAGAGACAAUGUCACAUUUAACUCUAACUAGCACAAUUUCAUUUCUCGAUGCUACCCAAAUCUCUAUUUAGAAUGUCACCAAGUUUACUAUUGUUAUAGUCCAUGCAUUCAUAGGGUUCUAUGUCCACAUUCUAUGUUCAUAUGUUCUUGCAAUUAAUAAGAAUUCACACUUUCACUUGCACAAUGCCAAAUACCCUUAUAAUACAUAACUACAAAUAUAAAUAUGCUCAAUGAAUUAUCAUAGAUAUAAAAGGUGAUUCAAAGAUUUCGGAUAGUACCACCCACCUGUAGUGGUGUCAACAACUAAGAUCUCACGUCUCGAAACGCGUCGACAACUAGCUCUCACGACUCCAUGCAAAUAGGACUAGAACGGCCUCUACCGUAAUUAGCGCGUCGCCGACCUGUCGGAAAGUCAAUUUAGACUUUCGAGCAAAUUUAACUUUCAUUUAUAUAAGAGUAAAAGGGAUUAAACUAGAGUCAUUGUUCAUAUUUUACAAGUUAGCCUUUCCAACUCCAAGUAUCCAUGUAUAUGUAUAUACUAUCAUUCAUAUAUACAUAUCAGCUCAAUGCUGAUUUCAGCACUAAGCGGAAAUGUAUGCUGCAUUAUCAGCAUUUCACCUCUUCUUUGAGCAACUAAUACAAGCAUAGGACCAUUAGUUCUCAUGCUUAGGAUUCUAUUAGAGCAACCAAUUACCAUUCAUCUCAAUCUGUUAUUAAAUUUGCUCUUUCUCAGCCUUAACAGCCUUAACAGCCUUAACAUCAAAAUAAAUUCUCCAAUGCUGAAUUUCAGCAUUUGAACUUCACGGUUUUCUUGGCAGCUCUACUAUACAGGAAUCAGAGGAAUUUACCUUCAAUUUCAUUUAACACUAGAGUUAAUCAAAAUCCAUUUUACUCUAGUCAUUUCUACUUUGAAAUCCACCAGGUCUAACACUCAAUUAGCUAGUUCCAACUCUAACAGUCAAUAGAGUUCAAUGCUGAAAUUUACCUUUUGUCUCACUCUUUUCCAGCUUACUCAAAUCUGUAGUACUUCAUUAAGUGACACCAAAUUAAAGAGGAGCAGCAACUUACUUAAUUAAAACUUCACUCAACUCAGGACACAAGUAUCUAUUAACUGAUUUCCACUUCAUCCUGAAUCUCAGGUCUGAGAUUUCAGCAACAUUAACUUCUUUAUAAGUCAACACUUAGGUAAUUAAUUGGCCUAUAAGUAGCUACUAAUCCAAUCUUACCUCAGCUGCAGCCCUGCUUCAGUUUCAGCAGCAACAUAAAGACAUAUAGGUUAGCUCCAAUACUUCUUAUUUCAGCUCCAAAGCUGAAAUUCCAGCAGCGAAGCUCUUAGUUGAUCCAUUUUAAAGUAACCAACUUGACUAUAACCCAAUAGGGGGAAUGAACUUACUUUAGUUUGAUGCUGAUUUAGCUUGCUUGCUUCAUCAGAUGGUCCUUUCCCUCAUUUCGACAGCAACAACAACAACACUUCACUUCAACUCUUCUUCAACAACCCAAUUCAGCAACUCAUCAAUCCAGAAGCUUAAUUCUGAAUUCGAAGCUCUCUAGAAGCUUCCUUCUUAGCUCACAGUCCCUAUUAUACCAGCACACUUAUUCUCUCAGGUUCCCUCUAAUGAUAAUACAUCUAACUUUAGCUGAAAAGUAAGCUUCUUACUCAAAUUGGAUGCUUCUUUAGUUGAAUUCUUCAACUUGGUAGCCUGCGAGUACCAGAUCAGCCCCAAACUGAAAUUUCCUGCAACACAUGUCCCAAUUAUUCAUUUAGAGGCUGCCCUAAAGCACCUACUAAGUUCCCAGCUGAAAAGCAAUAUACACACCCCAAUUCCAAGCUCUCUCAGCUGAAGUCCCUGCUCGCAGCAUCAAUAAGCCCAAUCCAUCAAGCUCCCAACUCCCAAGAGUCCAUAUAAACAUCUUUUUCAAGGUAAUUAACAAGAAAUCCAUGAGUCUUAAUCAAGUUUACCUUGAUUAGUUGCUAUUCCAGGUGACUUAGCAACUCUAAUCAGCAGCAAUUUCCUGUUCGAUUCAGUUUUCUUCCUUAGCCAGCAACACUCCAAGCUGCCAGCACCAAACUCCUCAACUCUUCUUAGCUCAGAGAGAGAAGGAGAAGAAGAAAAGAUGAAAGAAGAGAAGAGAAUGGAGAGCUCUGGUCUUAGACAGGUGUAAUCCACUAGGGGUGAGAUGAUAAGCUCGAAAAAUUGCAGUUUAGCCCCUUAAAACUGAGAAAUUGCAUAGUUGGCAAUUGCUGCCUGUAACACACUGGACCAUUGCAAAUUGCGAGGUUCGAGUGUUUGGAUGUAUUUCGAGCUUUUCCACACUUGGUGGAGGGUUGUAGAAUGUUUUCCGACCUAAAAAGUUCGAAAACUGGAAUUCUGGACAAGUCCUGAGAGUUUUUACUCUCGGGGACCGGUCCCUGGAAGGAGAGACCGGUCCCCCAGUGAGCAGUGUUGAGGCAGCCUGAGGCAACCGGUCCCUGGCAGGCGAGACCGGUCCCCGAGCGCGUCUUCGCAGUGAGAGACCGGUCCCGCGCAGGGAGAGACCGGUUCCCGAACGUUGGUUUUUCGGGUUCGCAGCGAGAGACCGGUCCCUGCUGGGGAGAGACCGGUCCCUCUGGGCGAAAACUGCCCAGUUCGGGCUGAUGUAAAUUUGAAUUUUUGAGGGGCCUCUCCGGAUUUUGUUACACUAGAUGGGCUUAUUAGCCAUUUCCUCCUCUUCCCUCUCUCAUUUUCUCAUUCUCACCCUCUCCCUACACUUUCUAGAGAGAGAAGAAGAAGAAGAAGGAGGAGAAGAAGGAGAGGAGCUAGCUUGAGGGAGCUUGGAGCUCAACCCCUUUCUCUCUUUUCCACCUUUGCAAGGCUUGGAGCUUGCUUGUAGAGCUUGGUGGUGGACCAAUCUUCAACCCUAGAAGAUUUGGAGCUUGUUUGGAGGCAUCUUGGGAGGUUAGUACUUGGAUUCUACCCUUUGAUCCUUGAUUUGGUAGGUUUUACCAUAUGAAACCCUAGUUUUGGGACUUAGGGUUUAUUUUGGGCUUUUUGAACCUAGGGCUUUUGAGGCUUGAUUGGUUGGUUUAGAACCUUCCUAGGGCUUGGAUUGGAAGGGUUCAAGCUCUCUUUUGGAGCUUUGGGAGAGAUUUCUACUCUUGAGGUUAGUUUUGGCCCUUUUUGCUUCUAGGUUAAUGUUUGAUAUUAUAAGAUGGUCGUAAUGCCCUCGUAUCUCUUCGCUGAUUACUUUUAGGGUAUUUUGAGACUCGGGGACAACUUUGUUCGGCGAAACGAGACCCUACGCGACGGUUCGGUGGGUUUGACCUAGCCUACAUAUGAGAAAUUCUCAUAUGUGGUUAUAUAUGUUCCGUAAAUUGAAAAAGCAUGCAUAUUCAUACUAAAUGUAUUUAUUAUGAUUUUUAGAAUGCUUAAAAUGCAUAUGUUAUAUAUAAUGAAAUUUUGGACCUCUAUGUAGUAGAGAGUUGCUUGAGAGAGAGUUGGUUGCAUUUAGCAUUCUAUACGAGAUUUGGUUUCAUGUUUCUAUAGUGUAAUGAGUUCGAAUUCAUGCAUUUAAACUUAAGUUUACUUGUGACAUGAAAGAUGAUGAAAUUGCCAUAUAGAGGUACUGAGCUAGAAUGUAUGUGAACUAGAGAGCUAAUGUCAUCAAGCGGCAUUGAGCUCGGGACAUGUGUGAACCUAGUGGAUAGGGCCAUUGAGGGACUUGGGAUACAUGUUGGACAUCAAAUUGCCUAAGUGUCAUCAAGGGGCACUAGGCGUAGCAAAAGCUGAAAAUUCACAUUAUGCCUUAAACUAGAUCUUCGGGAUGCUAGUGACUAUACCAUGUUAGAGACAUGAGGAUUGGAUACUUGAGACUUGGACUUUGCUUGCUUGCCAUUUGUGCUCAUUCGCACAUGCUUGUGAGGGUCGCUCCCUACAAGCCGGCACUCCGGAGUUAGCCUAUGCGACUUUUGUUCGCUCGUGCGGUAUCGAGAAGCCUACGGGGUCGAGUGGGACAGACACAUUCCAUGUGUAGGAAUGUCGGGCUACCACAGCCACUUAGGCGGCACAAGCUGGACUACCUUUGGUAGGUCUUUAAGUGGAAAUGAAAAUCGACACGGGGUUGUGAGUGGUUAAUCACUACUAGAUAGGUUAGUAGUUGAAUGACAUUUAUAUGCUUUUAGCAUAGGGUUGAGACAUGCAGUAUACUGGAUAGUCUCCUUUUGCAUUAAAGCAUACUUGGUUGCCAUGACAGAACUUAUGCAUAAUGUAUUCAUAAAGGUUAAUGAUUUACCAUUUGAUAUCAUAGAUGUACAUCACCAUAACAUCGUGUAUACCUGAGAUUAGUAAUUUAGCAUUUUAAUUAUGCUUUCAUAUCGCAGUCAUUAUUACUAUUAUUAUUGUACUUACCCUUUUCUUUUGGGGCCUAGUGGUGCAUAGAGCUGAGGUCAGUAAUUGCCCACUGGGAACUAUAAAUUAUAGUUCUCACGCCCUCUUUUUCUCGAUGUUUUUCAGAGCCUUCCGCUCAGGGUGAGUUCAGGGACCGUAGGAAGGAAGUUGCUUCGAGCUAGCUUCUUUCGAUGGAAACGAUUGCUAGGUGGUCUACCUCUCGUUGUAUUUUCAUUUUGGAGAGGUUGAGAGUUUUUUACCCGUGUACUAGUGACCACCAUUUUUGUAUUAGAGCUGAUUCUGUAUAAUUUUUUUUUAAAAAAAUGUUUACGUUUUAUGUUUUAGUCACGUUCAGUUACUAAUUGUGUAGAUGAUAGAACUUUACUCGCUCUGAUAUCAUUAGUUGCUAGUUAUUUCACUUCUUUUAUUUGUUCUAUCUCUUGCUUUACUUCCGCUUUUGUUGUAGACGCGUUAUAUGUGUAGACAUAUGGUGGGUCUGGGCAUGCUACCGGGAGGGCCUUCGCCGGUCCCGGGGCGUGACAGAUUAAUUUGGUAUCAGAGCCUAGGGUUGAGUCUUAGAGGACCUAGCAAACCUUAGGCCGGUUGGACUAUAGGAAUUAGGCUCGUGAGAGACGAGGUCUAUUUGACUUGUGAGCGAAAGUAUCCUGAUUGGGUGUCUUGACAACUCUAAAAAGUUAGAGUUCGAUCGGAGUGUAUGGCUUCUAACUUCGCGGAGGGUUACGUUGGCGGCCGACAACGUAACAUCGGGAGUUAGUAGUGAAGGACACUUUCUUACUUUCGCAUGAUUUUGGGUUUUAUCGUUUUGAGUGGGGAUGCGAUAGCGUGGGUUAUUAACUUGCGCUUUUAUGUUUUGUAGUGUCGAUGCCGGUUACACGCUCCCAGUCUGCCGGGGCAGAUGAUGCGGCACAUCCCGAGGAGGUUGAGACUUCCGCUACUUCCGGAUCUAGUGAGGUCCGUGACUUGAGGGCCCAGUUUGCGGUUCUCACUGAUCUGUUGGCGCAGCAGACGGCAGCGGCGCAGCGACAGGCUGAGGUGGCUCAGCGGCAGGAGGCGCGGAUGAAGCAUCUUGAGGACCUUCUACUUCAGCAGGCAGCAGCUUCGAGGGAGACCCAGGGCCCCACACCGCCAGCACCCGUGGUGGACGUCGCACCGAGGGCGCAGUCCCCCGCGCCCAGUUCUUCACGUGCGGCACCGGCGACCGCACCUCGGGAGGAGGUGGUUGCGGCAUUACCAGUUCAGAGACCGGCAACGGGAACAGCUUUCCCCGUGAUGGCCGAGGGAGCCGAGCGGGAUCGGCUCAUGGAUCGCCUCAGUGAGUUUAGGAGGUGCAGCCCGAGGACGUUUGAUGGCGAGAACGUCGACCAAUGGAUUGUUGAGAAGUGGUUGCUGCACAUGGAGAAGCUGUUUCGAGAUACCUUCGUUGAGGAGAGGGACAGGGUUUGACUCGCCACUCACUUUCUGGACGGCGAGGCCUAUCGUUGGUGGUUGGAUAUCCAGGACAACCCCAACACCGACUUGGCAGCGAUUACUUGGACGAGGUUCAAGGAGCUUCUUCUGGCGCACCACUUCCCGACCAGCGUCAAGAGGAAGAUGGAGCAGGAUUUGCGCAGCUUGCGCCAGGACGAGCGGUCAGUGGCUGAGUACGAGAGGGAGUUCUCCCGGAUACUAUAUUGUGUACCGUUUGUUGUGAGGGACAACGAGGACAAGGCCCGCAUCUUUGAGCACGGUUUGCGGCCUUCUAUCUUCCGGUUGGUGCAGUCUUCCAACUUCCAGACCUACCGGGAGGUUGUGGAUCGAGCUUUGAUAGUGGUGGCAGGAGCGGCAGACCUUCAGGAGCGACGCGAGGCCCUAGACAAGGGCAAGGGAAAGUGACCCGCGGCUGAGGGUGCGAGCCAGACGCACUCACGUAGGCCGCCGAGGCACCCCAGGAGUCGGAGCCAGUCGCGAGGACGUGGCCAGUCUGCUCAGCGAGGAGGACCCGAUCAUUGUGAGGCCCCCCGCUGCGUGAUCUGUGGCGGUCCUCAUUACCCGCGGCAGUGUUCACGCAGCCGGGGCAGGUGCUUCUUGUGUGGCCAAGAGGGCCACUUCCAGUCGGACUGUCCGAGGAGUCCAGCGCCAGCGCCAUCUUCGGCAUCUGCACCAGCAUCGCCGGGCCCCAGCCAGGGAACAUCUUUGGCGCAUUAUCAGGCUGGGCGGCCGCUAGUUCAGCGGCAGGUGGAGGGGUCACGACAGGCCCCGAGCGAGCGCAUGUACGCGGCCCAGACUGAGGCGGCGGCAGCCGAGAAUGUGGUCGCAGGUAUCAUUUUACUUUAUGGUAUUCGAGCUAGAGCUUUGUUUGAUACCGGUGCAUCGCAUUCAUUCAUAAACCGGCUGUUUGCCGAGUUGCAUGGCAUCCCACUUGCAUCCUUGUUGCAUCCGGGACGAGUUGUUGUACCCGAUCAUUUUUUGGACAUUCGGGAGUUUUGCCCCAGUUGCCCUGUUCGGGUUGGAGAUUAGAUCAUGCCCGUGGACUUGCUAGCUUUGCAUAAACUCGGGGAGUUUGAUGUAGUGUUGGGCAUGGACUGGUUGACUAAGUACUACGCCACUAUCGAUUGCAAGGAUCGAACGGUGACUUUUAGAGAGCCGGGGCAGGCGGAGGUUGUGUACCGAGGAUGCCAGAGUUCGCUGUUUGCGAUGACGAUUAGCUCCUCUCGAGCUAGGCAAUUGAUUAGUAGAGGCUGCGUAGCCUAUUUGCUACUGUCGUGUUGCGGGGCGAUGCGGACAGCCCUAGGAUUGAGGAUAUCCCCGUAGUACGGGAGUUUAGAGACGUGUUCCUAGCGGAGCUUCCAGGCAUGCCACCUGAUAAGGAGAUUGAGUUUGUGGUAGAUCUCGUUCCCGGGACUACUCCAAUCUCAAAGGCACCCUAUAGGAUGGCACCAACAGAAUUGAAGGAGCUGAAGGCACAGUUGCAGGAUCUUCUGGAUAAAGGUUUUGUGCGACCGAGUGUGUCUCCUUGGGGAGCACCGGUCUUGUUUGUUAAGACGAAGGAUGGAUCACUUCGCUUGUGCGUGGAUUAUCGUGAACUUAAUAAAGUCACGAUUAAGAAUAAAUACCCUUUACCGAGGAUUGAUGACUUAUUUGAUCAACUCCAGGGAUCUUGUGUAUAUUCCAAGAUUGUCUUGCAGUCGGGAUAUCACCAGUUGAGGAUCAGACCUGAGGAUGUAUCGAAGACGGCUUUUAGAACACGGUAUGGACAUUAUGAGUUUACCGUUAUGCCGUUUGGGCUUACUAAUGCCCCAGCAGCUUUUAUGGAUUUAAUAAACCGUGUUUUCAAGCCUUACUUAGACAGGUUCGUCGUGGUGUUCAUCGACGAUAUUUUGGUCUAUUCCCGAAGUGAUGCGGAUCACGAGGAACACUUGAGACUUGUACUUCAAGUGCUUCGGGAAAAGAAGCUCUACGCCAAGUUGAAAAGUGUGAAUUUUGGCUUAGAGAGGUGGCGUUUUUGAGCCAUGUGAUUUCAGGAUCAGGCAUAGCAGUGGACCCGAGGAAAAUUAAAGCUAUCAAGGAUUGGCCGAGGCCAACGAGUGUGACCGAGAUAUGGAGCUUCAUUGGUGUGGCCGGCUACUACCGACGGUUUGUUGAGGGAUUUGCAAAGUUAUCUACUCCCCUCACGAGGCUCACGCAUAAAGGAACUAAGUUCAUUUGGAAUGAUGCUUGUGAAAGGAGCUUUCAAGAGUUGAAGCAGCGAUUGACGACUGCCCCGAUCCUUACCUUGCCGACUGCUGGAGCAGGGUAUGUGAUUUAUAGUGAUGCUUCAUUUAAUGGAUUGGGCUGUAUUUUGAUGCAGGACGGGAAAGUGAUCGCGUAUGCAUCUCGCCAAUUGAAGGAUUAUGAAAGAAACUAUCCUACCCAUGACUUGGAGUUGGCGGCCGUGGUCUUUGCAUUGAAGCUAUGGUGCCACUACUUAUAUGGCGAGCGGUGCGAAGUAUAUACGGAUCACAAGAGCUUAAAGUAUCUUUUCACUCAGAAGGAGUUGAACUUGAGGCAGCGCAGAUGGUUGGAGCUACUCAAGGACUAUGACUUGACUAUUCUUUACCACCCGGGCAAGGCUAACGUGGUGGCAGAUGCGCUAAGUAGGAAAUCGACUGAGAACUUAGCAAUGCACUUAGUUACUCAACCGCGGUUAAUCGAGCAGAUAAAGCGGUUGGAGUUGGAGGUGGUGACUCCUGACACGCCUUUGAGGUUGAUGACGUUGGUGGUGCAACCUACAUUACUGGACCGAAUUAAAGAAAAGCAAGCUUCCGAUGUGGAGUUGCAAAAGAUUAAAGGUAAAAUGGUUGAUGGUUGCACCGGUGACUUCACUUUUGACAGCGAAGGAUUGAUGCGUUUCCGCGGACGACUUUGUGUACCGGCGGACUUGGGCGUUAAAGAGGACAUUCUUCAUGAAGCACACCGAGCACCGUAUGCUGUACAUCCGGGAGGCAUCAAGAUGUACAAGGACUUGAAGUUGCUUUACUGGUAGCCCGGGAUGAAAAAGGAUGUUGGUGAGUUUGUUGCUAGAUGUUUAACCUGCCAACAGGUGAAGGCUGAGCACCGAGUUCCUGCGGAGAAGUUGCAGAGCCUACCGAUUCCAGUGUGGAAGUGGGAAAAGAUCACCAUGAAUUUCGUGAUGGGAUUGCCUCGCUCACAGGCCGGGCAUGAUGCUAUUUGGGUAAUCGUGAAUAGAUUGACGAAAUCGGCACAUUUCAUACCUAUCCACACUACUUGGACUGGUGAGAGACUCGCACAGGUUUAUUUGGACGAGAUUGUGCGAUUGCAUGGGGUACCCACUUCUAUAGUGUCAGAUCGAGACCCCCGUUUUGUAUCCUAUUUUUGGAGGAGCUUACAGGACGCUCUGGGUACGCGCUUGGACUUCAGUACUGCUUUCCACCCCCAGAGUGACGGGCAGACGGAGCGUACGAUACAGACUCUCGAGGAUAUGCUGCGAGCCUGCGCGAUUGACUUCCAGGGAGGAUGGUCGCAGCAUCUACCGAUGGCAGAGUUUGUUUAUAACAACAGUUAUCAAGCAAGCAUCAAGAUGGCACCGUUCGAGGCACUUUAUGGACGGAAGUGUAGAUCGCCACUUUAUUGGAGUGAAGUCGGUGAGAGAUUGGCUUUAGGCCCUGAUGUGCUCUAGGAAGCGGAGGACAAGGUUCGGAUUACUCGGGAGUGAUUGUUGACAGCCCAGAGUAGGCAGGGGAGUUACGCUGAUCGGCGUCGACGAGACUUGGAGUUUUAGAUUGGAGAUCAUGUCUUCUUGAAAGUCUCGCCGACUCGAGGGAUUAGACGAUUUGGAAUCCGGGGCAAGUUGAGCCCCCGAUUCAUUGGACCGUUUGAGGUUUUGGAGCGGGUAGGCCUGGUAGCGUAUAGACUUGCUUUACUGCCGAACCUAUCGGGUGUACACAACGUAUUCCAUGUAUCGGUCCUUCGGAAGUACAUCCACGACCCGGCUCAUGUCUUGGACGCCACGCCUUUGGAGCUGAGGGAUGAUUUGAGCUUUGAAGAGCAACCCUUGAGGAUUUUGGCUCGCGAGGUAAAAAGAUUGCGGAACCGAGAAAUUCCUUACGUGAAGGUGCUUUGGAGCAACCACGACGAGCGCGAGGCCACUUGGGAACUGGAAAGCGCGCUGCGGGAGCGCUACCCCCAUCUUUUUCAGAUGGAAGCUUGAGGUACUUGUCAUCUCGAGUUUCGCGGACGAAACUCCCUUUUAGGAGGGGUGAAUGUAGCGCACUGGACCUUUGCAAAUUGCGAGGUUCGAGUAUUUGGAUGUAUUUCGAGCUUUUCCACACUUGGUAGAGGGUUGCAGAAUAUUUUUCGACCUAAAAAGUUCGAAAACUGAAAUUCUGGGCAAGUCCUGAGAGUUUUUACUCUCGGGGACCGGUCCCUGGAAGGAGAGACAGGUCCCCCAGUGAGCAGUGUUGCGGCAGCCCUGAGGCAACCGGUCCCUGGCGGGCGAGACCGGUACCCGAGCGCGCCUUCGCAGUGAGAGACCGGUCCCGCGCAGGGAGAGACCGGUUCCCGAACGUUGGUUCUCCGGGUUCGCAGCGAGAGACCGGUCCCUGCUGGGGAGAGACCGGUCCCUAUGGGCGAAAACUGCCCAGUUCGGGCUGAUGCAAUUUUGGAUUUUUGAGGGACCUAGCUGGAUUUUGUUACAAUAGAGGGUCUAUAUGACCCAUCCCCUCUCUCUUCUUCUCAUUUCCCUCCUCACACUCUCCCCACACCCUUGUUAGAGAGAGAAGGAGAAAGAGAAGAAGAAGGAGGAGAAGAAGGAGAAGGAGAGGGUUUUGGUGGACUUGGAGCAUUUCUUUGCCUCUUUUCCUCUUCCCACCUUGUUGAUGCUUGAAGGCUUGCACUUGGAGCUUGCCAAGAGGAGAUCUUCACCCUUUGAGCUUGGAUUGAAUCUUCUUAGAGUUUGGUAGCCCUUUCUCUCUAUCUAGACUUUGGAUUUGAGGCUUUCUUUGUGUUGGAACCCUAGAAUGAGGUUUAGGGUUGAUUUUGGGGCUUUUUGAUCUAGGGCUUUUGAGGCUAGAUUGAUUGGUUUAGAACCUUCCUUGGGCUUGGAUUAGAAGGGUGCUAGCUCUCUUUUGGAGCUUUGGAAGAGAUUUCUUCUCUUGAGGUGAGUUUUAGCCCUUUUGUCUUGUUGGUUAAUCAUUGAUUGUAUAAGAUGAUCGUAAUGCCCGUGUAUCUUGUCGCUCAAUACUUUUAAGGUAUUUUGAGACACGGGGACAACUUUGUUCAGCGAAACGAGGCCCUACGCGACGGUUCGGUGGGUUUGACCUAGCCUAUAUAUGAGAAAUUCUCACAUAUGGUUAUAUAUGUUCCGUAAAUGGGAAAAGCAUGCAUAUUCAUACUAAAUGUAUUUAUUAUGAUGUUUAGAAUGCUUAAAUGCCUAUGUUACAUAUGAUGAAAUUUUGGACCUCUAUGUAGUAGAGAGUUGCUUGGGAGAUCUAUGGUUGCAUUUAGCAUUCUUUAUAAGACUUGAUUCCAUGCUUCUAUAGUGUAAAUUAGUUCGGAUUCAUGCAUUUAAACUUAAGUUUACUUGUGGUAUGAAAGAUGACAAAAUUGCCAUUUAGAAGGUGUGUGAACUAGCGAGCUAAUGUCAUCAAGCGGCAUCGAGCUCGGGACAUGUGUGAACCUAGUGGAUAGGGCCAUUGAGGAAUGUGGAACAUGCUUAAACAUUAAAUGUCUAAGUGUCAUAAAGGGGCACUAGACGUAGCAAAUGUUGAAACUUCACAUUGUGACUUGAACUAGAUAUUCGGGAUGCUAGUGACUACACCAUGUUAGAGACAUGAGGAUUGGAUACUUGAGACUUGGACUAUGCUUGCUUGCCAUUUGUGCUCAUUCGCACAUGCUUGUGAGGGUCGCUCCCUACAAGCCGGCACUCCGGAGUUAGCCUACGCGACCUAUGUUCGCCGUGCGGUAUCGAGAAGCCUACGGGGUCGGGAAGGAUAGACUCAUUCCUAGAGUGGGAAUGUUGGGGCUACCACCGACACUUAGGCGGCACAAGCUGGAUUACAAUAUGUAGAUCCUAAAACAUGUUUGAUUAAUGACAUUGAACCGGGAAUGGAUAAUCACUACUAGAUAGGUUUAGUAGUUGAAUUACAUUUAUAUGCUUUUAGUAUAGUGUUGAGACAUGUAGUAUACUUGAUAGUUUUUUAUUGCAUUAAAGCAUACCUGGUUGUCAUGACAGAACUUAUGCAUCACGUAUUGAUAAAGGUUAAUGACAUUUAACUAUUGCCAUUGGACAUACUAUUAUGAUAUCGUAGAUGUACAUCACCAUGACAUCGUGCAUACUUGAGUUUAGUAAUUUAGCUUUUUAAUUAUGCUUUUAUAUCGCAGUCAUUAUUGCUAUUAUUAUUGUACUUACCUUUUUCUUUUGGGGCCUAGUGGUGUAUAGAGCUGAGGUCAGUAAUUGCCCACUGGUAAUUAUAAAUUAUAGUUCUCACGCCCUCUUUUUCUCGAUGUUUUUCAGAGCCUUCCACGCAGGGAGAGGCCAGGGAUCGCGGAAAGGGUAUCGCCUCGGGCUAGCGUGCUUACCGAGGGAUCGUUCGAUAGGUGGUCUACCUCUCGUGUUUUCUUUUUGUGAGAGGUUGAGAGUUGUACCCGUAUAUGUAUAGAGACCACCAUUUUUGUACUUGAGGCAGAUAUUGUACUACUUAUGGUUUCUUUUAUUGUCUAGCUUUAUUUCUAUACUUUGGUGUAGAUGAUAGAACUUUACUCGCUCUGAUAUCAUUAGUUGCUAGUUAUUUCACUUCUUUUAUUUGUUCUAUCUCUUGCUUUACUUCCGCUUUUGUUGCGAGGUCGAUGACCAUCCCAGUUCUAGCCCCGCCAUCAGUUAGCAACGAAGUUGAGAACCUUCGAAGAGAGCGUGCGUAGUAAGGUUUACUUGAACUGAGGAAAUACGCACUCAGAGCACUCCCCUCAUCUAUUGGAACGUUUAGGGAGUUGCUUAGAGGCCAUCAUUGGCCGGUUAGGUUCCUACGAGGCAUAGAGGCACUGCGAGCAGCUAGAGCUGGUUAGGAACUAACGAAGUUAGAAGAAUCCUAGGUGCACAGUGCGGGGCCCUGGCCGCCUCCGGGAGGGCCAUCGCACGGGUCUGUGCGGUAUACAGAUGUGUAUAUUCCGCAAAUGUCANACAUAUGGCGGGUCUUGGCACGCUACUGGGAGGGCCUUCGCCGGUCCCGGGGCGUGACAACUUCAUUCGAGAUUGCCCGGGAGGAGGAGCCUCACCAGCCCCCUCGAUUGCAUUGGCGCCGGCGUUCCCGGCUGAUUUUGGAGGAGCCCCACCGACAACCGCGUCGACUGGACGCGCGAUGAUGCCGCGUCAACCUGAAGUGACGCGAUCGGCCCCGAGCGGACGGGUGUUCGCCGCUCAGGUCCAAGCUGAGGAGCCUGCAGAGGCAGAGGAGCAUCACCUUGUGGCUGGUAUGGUUUUAAUUAAUGGAGUUCGCUCCAGGGCUUUAUUUGAUACAGGAGCCACGCAUUCAUUCAUAAGUAGAUCAUUCGCACGCAUGCAUGACAUUCUCAUAGAAGCGAGUGACAAGUGGCGAGUGUAGUGCCCUGGGUCGACGUUUAACACCUACUCAGAGUGUGCGUCAUGUCCAGUACAAAUAGGCGACUAGAUUAUGCCUAUCCGGACGCUAGAACUCACAAAGCUUGAGGCUUACGACGUCAUUCUGGGUAUGGACUGGCUCUCGAACUAUCACGCAACGAUCGACUGCAAGAGCAGGGUGAUCAUAUUCCGUGAGCCAGGACAAGAGGAGUUCACCUAUCGGGCUUGUCAGAGCUCGUGCUUCGUCGCGACAGUAUCGGCGACAAGAGCAAGGAAAUUGGUUAACAGCGGUUGCACGGCAUUUUUGGUGACUGUUGUGGAAGUGGAACGAGUAGCUCGAACGUUAGAGGAGCUAUCACUGGUGCGGGAGUUCCCGGAUGUAUUUCCCACGGAGUUGCCGGGGAUACCACUUGAUCGGGAGAUCGAGUUCGUCAUAGACUUGGUUCCUGGUACCGCACCGAUUUCGAAGGCUCCAUACAGAAUAGCGCCGGCGGAAUUGAAAGAGUUGAGGAGUCAACUGCAAGACCUCCUCGACAAGUAAUUUAUCCGGCCAAGUGUAUCACCGUGGGGAGCCCCGGUGUUGUUUGUGCAGAAAACUGCGUUUCGUACGCGGUAUGGACAUUACGAAUUCACGGUCAUGCCAUUUGGACUCACGAAUGCUCCAGCGGCAUUUAUGGAUUUGCUGAACCGUGUCUUCAAGAAGUAUUUGGAUCGAUUUGUCGUGGUCUUCAUAGAUGACAUAUUGGUCUAUUCUCGUAGUGACGAGGAACAUGCCGGGCAUUUGAGAAUAGUGCUUCAAGUCCGUCGGGAGGAGAAGCUAUAUUCUAAAUUGAAGAAGUGUGACUUCUGGCUUUGCGAGGUCGCCUUCCUAGGGCAUGUGAUUUUCACGGUUGGAGUUUCUGUAGACCCGAGGAAGGUUGAGGCAAUCAGGGAUUGGCCGCGCCCGACGAAUGUCACGGAGGUUCGAAGCUUCGUGGGCCUGGCGGGCUAUUAUAGGCAGUUUGUGGAAGGCUUUUCCAAGAUAGUGAUUCCACUUACCCGCCUGACCCAGAAAGGCACCAAGUUUGUUUGGAGCGAAGAAUGUGACCGGAGUUUCAAAGAGUUGAAGCAAAGAUUGACUUCGACUCCGGUGCUCGCUCUACCAGUGCAGGGCGAAGACUUCGUAGUCUACAGCGAUGCCUCCUAUCUUGGGUUGGGAUGUGUAUUGAUGCAAAACGGGAAGGUAAUCGCCUACGCAUCCCGUCAGCUGAAGAGCUAUGAGAAGAACUACCCCAUCCAUGAUUUGGAGCUGGCGCCGGUGAUUUUCGCCUUGAAGCUGUGGAGGCACUAUUUAUAUGGUGCCCAUUGUGAGAUCUAUACCGACCACAAGAGCUUGAAGUACCUGUUCACACAGAAGGAGCUCAAUAUGCGUCAGCGGCGGUGGUUGGAAUUAUUAAAGGAUUAUGAUGUCGAUAUCCUCUACCACCCCGGGAAGGCAAAUGUGGUCGCGGACGCACUAAGUAGGAAGUCGGCGAAGAACCUCGCUUUUGAUGUUACCCAGCAAACACCCCUUUGGCUGGAUAUGGAGCGAUUGAACCUUGAAGUGGUCGCUCCCGAGGUCCCGACUCAGUUGAUGGCACUCGUUGUCCAACCGACCUUGUUGGAGAGGAUUAAAGAUCUGCAACCUGCAGACCCGGAACUCCAAAAGGUGCGGCGAAACAUCGAGGAAGGGCGUGGCGGCGAUUUCAAGGUAGACGCCGAUCGUACGCUUCGGUUUCGGAACCGAUGGUAUGUGCCGAAAGGUGGAGAGCUUCGUGAAUUGAUUAUACAAGAAGCACACCGAUCUCCAUAUGCUGAUCACCCGGGCAGCACCAAGAUGUAUCAGGGACUAAAAAUGCAUUAUUGGUGGCCGGGAAUGAAGAGCGAUAUUGGACGCUUUGUGUAAUAUACCGAAAAUUCGGAGAAUAAAUAUCGAACUUUAGUCAAAUUGACCAAAGUGCGAGGAAGGUACACUUCGGAAAGUCCGAAGGUGUUAAAGUGAUUAAAAGUGAGUUACGGGAGGUUUUCGAGAGCUAAAGAAUCAAAUUCUGCAAAACUGCAGAUUUUGAGCUCUCGGGGACCGGUCCCUGGUGGGAGAGACCGGUCCCCGAACGCGUGCAGAAUGAGACAGCCGAAAAAUCGGCUAAGUCCUGGAAGGUUAACUCUCGGGAACCGGUCCCUGCCUGAGAGACCGGUCCCCGAGAGACCGGUCCCCCAAGGAGGGACCGGAUGCAUUGCGCGCGGCAGCUCUGGCUGCGCAGGGUGGACCUUCGGGGACCGGUCUGUAAUAUACCGAAAAUUCGAAAAAUAAAUAUCGAACUUUAGUCAAAUUGACCAAAGUGCGAGGAUGGUACACUUCGGAAAGUCCGAAGGUGUUAAAAUGAUUAAAAGUGAGUUACGGGAGGUUUUCGAGAGCUAAAGAAUCAAAUUCUGCAAAACUGCAGGUUUUCAGCUCUCGGGGACCGGUCCUUGGUGGGAGAGACCGGUCCCCGAACGCGUGCAGAAUGAGACAGCCGAAAAAUCGGCUAAGUCCUGGAAGGUUAGCUCUCGGGAACCGGUCCCUGCCUGAGAGACCGGUCCCCGAGAGACCGGUCCCCCAAGGAGGGACCGGAUGCAUUGCGCGCGGCAGCUCUGGCUGCGCAGGGUGGACCUUCGGGGACCGGUCUGUAAUAUACCGAAAAUUCGAAAAAUAAAUAUCGAACUUUAGUCAAAUUGACCAAAGUGCGAGGAUGGUACACUUCGGAAAGUCCGAAGGUGUUAAAAUGAUUAAAAGUGAGUUACGGGAGGUUUUCGAGAGCUAAAGAAUCAAAUUCUGCAAAACUGCAGGUUUUCAGCUCUCGGGGACCGGUCCUUGGUGGGAGAGACCGGUCCCCGAACGCGUGCAGAAUGAGACAGCCGAAAAAUCGGCUAAGUCCUGGAAGGUUAGCUCUCGGGAACCGGUCUCUGUCUGAGAGACCGGUCCCCCAGAGACCGGUCCCCCAAGGAGGGACCGGAUGCAUUGCGCGCGGCAGCUCUGGCUGCGCAGGGUGGACCUUCGGGGACCGGUCCCUGCUCGGGGAGACCGGUCUCUGCCUGCGAAAACUGCCCAGUCCAGGCAGUGCACAGUGAUAAAAGUUGAGGGGUUUAUUUGCAUUUUGGCAACCCAAUAGCUAUGUUAUGGGGCCUAAUGAGAUUUUCUCUCAUUUCCUCACCCUCUCACACUCUCUUCUCUCCCUCUCUCUCUCUAGAAGACAAAGGAGAAGAAGAAGAAAGGAAGAGAAGAAGGAGAAAAAGGAAAGGAAGGUGAAGAAGAAGAUCAAGUUGCUUCAUCUUCUUCCUCUCUAGUGCAAAUUAGGGCAAGCUUUGAGGUAAGCUUUGCCCCUUUUCAUGAUAACUCCCAAACUAGGGUUUGGGUAAACCUAGAAAUGAUUUUUAUGGAGCUUUUAAAGUAUUUGAAGCUUUCUUUUUGCUUCUUUAGAGAUCAAAACCGUGGUUGUGCUCAAGGUGAGCUUCAACCCACCUCUAAUGGUGAAAUCCAAACUAGGAUUUUGGAAAGCCUAAGAAUGGUUCUAAUGGACUAUUUAGAGUAUAGUGAAGCUACUUUUGCUUCUCUUUGAGAUCAAACCCUAGGUUUGAUACAUGUAUUGGAGCUAGGGCACCAAAUUGGGGCUUUUGCUUAUGAGGGUAUCUAAGUGAAAUUGAUCCUCUAGAAACCUAAUUGGGGGUAUUUCCGACGCGUUGGUGAGCUCGGAUUUGUGUUACGAAAAGCCGAUGUAAAGAUAUGGGCAAAAUGGCCUAAUUUGGCUUCGUUAUGCCGCAGGUAAAGAACGAAGAGUCUAAAAAUCCCAAGAAAAUCAUCGGAGCACCUUUGAAAGCCUACGAGGUGGGUGGUGCUUCUCAAACUCAUUGAACUUCUCUCUAUGCCUAAUGUGUCAUUCAUUUGAGCAUNNNNNNNNNNNNNNNNNNNNNNNNNNNNNNNNNNNNNNNNNNNNNNNNNNNNNNNNNNNNNNNNNNNNNNNNNNNNNNNNNNNNNNNNNNNNNNNNNNNNNNNNNNNNNNNNNNNNNNNNNNNNNNNNNNNNNNNNNNNNNNNNNNNNNNNNNNNNNNNNNNNNNNNNNNNNNNNNNNNNNNNNNNNNNNNNNNNNNNNNNNNNNNNNNNNNNNNNNNNNNNNNNNGUGGGAAAGUCGGUGAUGUUGAGGCCGAACCCACUGGGAACUUUGUUGUAGUUCUCACCCCACUAUUUCCACAGAGCCGGGACCGAGCGAGCCGGCGAGCGACCGAGGUAAAGGCAUCGCGCCUUAGUCAGAGGCCACCAAAGUCGGGUUCCAUUUUGUAGUAAAGUACCCUAUGAUCAUCUUUUGUACUUGAUGAUGAAUGAUGUAAAGAAAAGAACGUAAUGUGCAUUUUGAGGUAAAUGUGAUGUAAGAAAGAAAUGAUGAAACGAAAUGUAAGAAGCUCGAAGAAUUACAGGUUGACUGCAAUGUAUAUGAUCUAAAUUGAAUCAUAGUACUUAUAAAUGUUUAGUUUUCCUUUCUUUCACUAAUGGCUAUUGCUUACCCUCGUGUAAGCCGUUUGUGUAUGUUUCCGCUAGUGCUUUUCUCUAUUGAUGAAAAUGUACAUGUGAUGAGCCUUGGGCGGAUAGGGGAAACUCUGUCCGUUCGGCGUCUGUUUGACGUGCUCGGGUCGGGCCAAAUUGGACUGCAACACCAGCUGGCUAGAUGCUGUACAUUCAUGUAUCUGCGCUUUAUCCGAGUUAAAUGUAUGCCAAACCGCGUACCGAUAUCGACACACUCGCGAAUCAUUCUACAUAAUAGAACAAUGGUAGAAGACCGGUUGCAUCUAGGCAAAUUCUGGCAUGAAAUGCUAAGUCGAACAACAACACUUUCCAAACAAGUAUCACAUGUCACCAAUCGCAGUAACGGCCGAUUUUACUAAGCCAGGACGGCCUAUUAGAGGCCUGUUCGAACUCAUUAAUGGCCAUAACUCGAUUAGGUCUAUACGCCACGUNNNNNNNNNNNNNNNNNNNNNNNNNNNNNNNNNNNNNNNNNNNNNNNNNNNNNNNNNNNNNNNNNNNNNNNNNNNNNNNNNNNNNNNNNNNNNNNNNNNNNNNNNNNNNNNNNNNNNNNNNNNNNNNNNNNNNNNNNNNNNNNNNNNNNNNNNNNNNNNNNNNNNNNNNNNNNNNNNNNNNNNNNNNNNNNNNNNNNNNNNNNNNNNNNNNNNNNNNNNNNNNNNNNNNNNNNNNNNNNNNNNNNNNNNNNNNNNNNNNNNNNNNNNNNNNNNNNNNNNNNNNNNNNNNNNNNNNNNNNNNNNNNNNNNNNNNNNNNNNNNNNNNNNNNNNNNNNNNNNNNNNNNNNNNNNNNNNNNNNNNNNNNNNNNNNNNNNNNNNNNNNNNNNNNNNNNNNNNNNNNNNNNNNNNNNNNNNNNNNNNNNNNNNNNNNNNNNNNNNNNNNNNNNNNNNNNNNNNNNNNNNNNNNNNNNNNNNNNNNNNNNNNNNNNNNNNNNNNNNNNNNNNNNNNNNNNNNNNNNNNNNNNNNNNNNNNNNNNNNNNNNNNNNNNNNNNNNNNNNNNNNNNNNNNNNNNNNNNNNNNNNNNNNNNNNNNNNNNNNNNNNNNNNNNNNNNNNNNNNNNNNNNNNNNNNNNNNNNNNNNNNNNNNNNNNNNNNNNNNNNNNNNNNNNNNNNNNNNNNNNNNNNNNNNNNNNNNNNNNNNNNNNNNNNNNNNNNNNNNNNNNNNNNNNNNNNNNNNNNNNNNNNNNNNNNNNNNNNNNNNNNNNNNNNNNNNNNNNNNNNNNNNNNNNNNNNNNNNNNNNNNNNNNNNNNNNNNNNNNNNNNNNNNNNNNNNNNNNNNNNNNNNNNNNNNNNNNNNNNNNNNNNNNNNNNNNNNNNNNNNNNNNNNNNNNNNNNNNNNNNNNNNNNNNNNNNNNNNNNNNNNNNNNNNNNNNNNNNNNNNNNNNNNNNNNNNNNNNNNNNNNNNNNNNNNNNNNNNNNNNNNNNNNNNNNNNNNNNNNNNNNNNNNNNNNNNNNNNNNNNNNNNNNNNNNNNNNNNNNNNNNNNNNNNNNNNNNNNNNNNNNNNNNNNNNNNNNNNNNNNNNNNNNNNNNNNNNNNNNNNNNNNNNNNNNNNNNNNNNNNNNNNNNNNNNNNNNNNNNNNNNNNNNNNNNNNNNNNNNNNNNNNNNNNNNNNNNNNNNNNNNNNNNNNNNNNNNNNNNNNNNNNNNNNNNNNNNNNNNNNNNNNNNNNNNNNNNNNNNNNNNNNNNNNNNNNNNNNNNNNNNNNNNNNNNNNNNNNNNNNNNNNNNNNNNNNNNNNNNNNNNNNNNNNNNNNNNNNNNNNNNNNNNNNNNNNNNNNNNNNNNNNNNNNNNNNNNNNNNNNNNNNNNNNNNNNNNNNNNNNNNNNNNNNNNNNNNNNNNNNNNNNNNNNNNNNNNNNNNNNNNNNNNNNNNNNNNNNNNNNNNNNNNNNNNNNNNNNNNNNNNNNNNNNNNNNNNNNNNNNNNNNNNNNNNNNNNNNNNNNNNNNNNNNNNNNNNNNNNNNNNNNNNNNNNNNNNNNNNNNNNNNNNNNNNNNNNNNNNNNNNNNNNNNNNNNNNNNNNNNNNNNNNNNNNNNNNNNNNNNNNNNNNNNNNNNNNNNNNNNNNNNNNNNNNNNNNNNNNNNNNNNNNNNNNNNNNNNNNNNNNNNNNNNNNNNNNNNNNNNNNNNNNNNNNNNNNNNNNNNNNNNNNNNNNNNNNNNNNNNNNNNNNNNNNNNNNNNNNNNNNNNNNNNNNNNNNNNNNNNNNNNNNNNNNNNNNNNNNNNNNNNNNNNNNNNNNNNNNNNNNNNNNNNNNNNNNNNNNNNNNNNNNNNNNNNNNNNNNNNNNNNNNNNNNNNNNNNNNNNNNNNNNNNNNNNNNNNNNNNNNNNNNNNNNNNNNNNNNNNNNNNNNNNNNNNNNNNNNNNNNNNNNNNNNNNNNNNNNNNNNNNNNNNNNNNNNNNNNNNNNNNNNNNNNAUACUCAGACAAGAGAAGCUCUAUGCAAAAUUAAAGAAAUGUGACUUUUGGCUAAAGGAGGUCACAUUCUUGGGUCAUGUGGUAUCGGGCGACGGAGUUUCGGUAGACCCGAAGAAGGUAGAGGCGAUCAAGGAUUGGCCUCGCCCAACGAAUGUAGCGGAGAUCCGCAGUUUUCUUGGACUAGCGGGCUAUUAUCGGCGGUUCGUGGAGGGGUUCGCCAAAAUAACCACUCCACUAACGCGCCUCACGCAUAAAGGAGUAAAGUACGUUUGGAGCGACGAUUGCGAUCGAAGCUUCGAGGAGUUGAAGAACAGAUUGACGUCGACCCCGGUUCUUGCUUUGCCGACUCCGGGGGAGACUUUUGUAGUGUACAGUGAUGCCUCGUAUGUUGGUCUCGGGUGUGUAUUAAUGCAAAACGGGCGGGUCAUUGCUUAUGCAUCGCGCCAAUUAAAGAGUUAUGAGAAGAACUACCCGAUUCACGACCUCGAGUUAGCCGCGGUGAUCUUCGCGCUAAAGCUUUGGAGGCAUUACUUGUAUGGUGAACAUUGUGAGGUAUACACCGAUCACAAGAGUCUAAAGUACUUGUUCACCCAGAAAAAGUUGAACAUGCGACAGCGGCGGUGGUUAGAGUUGCUAAAGGACUAUGAUGUCACCAUAUUAUACCACCCCGGAAAGGCUAAUGUCGUGGCCGAUGCUCUAAGCAGAAAAUCGGCGGAGAACUUAGCGACGGCAAUUACGCCUCAACCGCUAUUGCAAAAAGAAAUGCAACGAUUCGGGUUGGAAGUGGUAGCGCCGGGAGUGCCGGCCACACUUGCCGCACUAGUGGUGCAACCGACCCUAUUCGAGAGAAUUAAAGAGUUACAAACUUCGGAUCCUUAUCUCCAAAAGGUUCGAGGUGAUGUCGAGAGCGGUAAAGCCGAAGAUUUUGGCGUUGAAGCCGAUGGCGCACUUCGAUUUCGAAAUCGAUGGUGUGUACCAAAGGAUGAUGAAUUACGAAGGGCGAUCAUGCAAGAAGCGCAUCAAUCUCCCUAUAGUAUACACCCCGGCGGCACAAAAAUGUACAAGGACUUGAAAGAGCACUAUUGGUGGCCGGGUAUGAAAAGAGACAUUGGGGAGUUUGUGGCGCAAUGUUUAACGUGCCAACAAGUAAAAGCCGAGCGCUGAUUUCCAGCGGGAAAGCUACAAAGUCUACCAAUACCCGUUUGGAAAUGGGAAGACGUAGCGAUGGACUUUGUUACCGGUUUGCCUCGAUCACAAGGCGGACAUGAUGCAAUAUGGGUGAUAGUGGAUCGAUUGACAAAGUCGGCACGCUUCUUGCCGAUACAUACUACGUGGUCGGGAGACAAGCUAGCGCAAGUUUAUCUCGACGAGGUGGUGAGACUUCAUGGGGUCCCAGUGUCGAUCGUGUCGGAUCGCCACCCCCGGUUCACAUCCCACUUUUGGAAGAGUUUGCAAGACGCGCUAGACACGCGGCUCGACUUCAGUACGGCGUUUCACCCUCAAAGCGAUGGACAGUCGGAGCGGACGAUACAAAUCCUUGAGGAUUUGCUUCGAGCGUGUGUGCUGGAUUACAAAGGAGGAUGGCAUGAUUUCUUGCCUAUGGCGGAGUUCGCCUACAAUAAUAGCUAUCAAGAAAGCAUAGCGAUGGCGCCAUAUGAGGCACUAUAUGGACGUAAGUGUUGUUCUCCUAUCCAUUGGAGUGACGUGGGCGAGAGAGCGGCUCUUGGCCCGGAUGUAGUGCGGGAGGCGGAAGAGAAAGUUCGCCUUGCCCGUCAACGGUUGGCGAUGGCACAAUCUCGGCAAAAGAGUUAUGCCGACAAGCGAAGAAAGGAUUUAGAGUUUGCAGUUGGAGACCGUGUAUUUUUGAGAGUAUCGCCGAUGCGAGGAGUCAAACGAUUUGGGGUCCGUGGGAAGUUAAGUCCCCGUUAUGUCGGACCAUUUGAGAUAUUGGAGCGUGUGGGUGUGGUAGCAUACAAACUCGCACUACCACCGAGACUCGCGGGAGUUCAUAAUGUCUUCCAUGUGUCCAAUCUCCGAAAGUAUAUUCGCAAUGCGACACAUGUAUUAGAGUACGAGCCCGUGGAGCUACGUGAGGAUAUGUCCUACGAGGAGUACCCGGUGUGCAUCCUCGAUAGAGAAGUGAAGAAGUUGCGAAGUCGCAAGAUUCCAUAUGUAAAAGUCUAAUGGAGCAACCAUGAUGUGCGAGAAGCCACUUGGGAGCUCGAGGAAACUAUGCGGCGAGAGUACCCGCAUCUAUUCGAAUCGACGAGCUAAGGUAUGCGUAAUUUCGCGGACGAAAUUAUUUUAAGGGGUGGAGAAUGUAAUAUACCGAAAAUUCAGAAAAUAAAUAUCGAACUUUAGUCAAAUUGACCAAAGUGUGAGGAUGGUACACUUCGGAAAGUCCGAAGGUGUUAAAAUGAUUAAAAGUGAGUUACGGGAGGUUUUCGAGAGCUAAAGAAUCAAAUUCUGCAAAACUGCAGAUUUUGAGCUCUCGGAGACCGGUCCCUGGUGGGAGAGACCGGUCCCCGAACGCGUGCAGAAUGAGACAGCCGAAAAAUCGGCUAAGUCCUGGAAGGUUAGCUCUCGGGAACCGGUCCCUGCCUGAGAGACCGGUCCCCGAGAGACCGGUCCCCUAAGGAGGGACCGGAUGCAUUGCGCGUGGCAGCUCUGGCUGCGCAGGGUGGACCUACGGGGACCGGUCCCUUCGGGGACCGGUCCCUGCUCGGGGAGACCGGUCCCUGCCUGCGAAAACUGCCCAGUCCAGGCUGUGUGAAAUAGUGAAAGUUGAGGGGUUUAUUAGCAUUUUUGCAGCCCAAUGGUUAUGUUAUGAGGGUAAAUGAGAUUUUCUCUCAUUUCCUCACCCUCUCACACUCUCUUCUCUCCCUCUCUCUCUCUAGAAGACAAAGGAGAAGAAGAAGAAAGGAAGAAAGGAAGAAAAAGAAGAAAAAGAAGCUGAAGAAGAAGAUCAAGGAGCAAAGGAGCUUCAUCUUCUUCCUCUCUAGUGCAAGUUAGGGCAAGCCUUGAGGUAAGCUUUGCCCCUUUUCAUGAUAACUCCCAAACUAGGGUUUGGGUAAACCAAGAAAUGGGUUUUAUAGAGCUUUUAGAGUAUUUGAAGCUUUCUUAUUGCUUCUUUAGAGAUCAAAACCAUGGUUGAGCUCAAGGUGAGCUUCAACCCACCUCUAAUGGUGAAAUCCAAACUAGGGUUUGGAGUGAGCUAGGGAUGGUUCUAAUGAACUAUUUAGAGUAUAAUGAAGCUACUUUUGCUUCUCUUAGAGAUCAAACCCUAGGUUUGAUAUGUGUAUUGGAGCUAGGGCACCAAAUUGGGGCUUUUGCUCAUGGGGACUUCUAAGUGCAAUUGACCCUCUAAAAUCCUAAUUGGGGGUAUUUCCGACGCGUUGGUGCGCUCGGAUUUACGUUACGAAAAGCCGAUGUAAAGUUAUAGGCAAAAUGGCCUAAUAAGGGUUCGUUUUGCCGCAGGUAAAGAACGAAGCAUCUAAAAAUCCCAAGAAAAUCAUCGGAGCACCUUUGAAAGCCUACGAGGUGGGUGGUGCUUCUCAAACUCAUUGAACUUCUCUCUAUGCCUAAUGUGUCAUUCAUUUGAGCAUGUGUAAUAUAUAUUGUUGCAUGCAUAUUAGGGUAAAGUAAAGAUGAGAAUGUGAUGAUAGCAUGAUUGUGAGUACAACUUGCUUGUAAUGAUGGUAGAGAACCAAAUAAAUGUCAAAACCCUAAGUGUAUGCAUUAGAGAAAUAGUGAGCACCCAAAGUGAGCAAAAGAACAGAGUGACACUAUGACAUAGAUCGAGUGGCAUUUGAAAAUGUAAAGUAAAGAGACACUAGAGUUAGUGUGAUGCAAAGAACCAAAGUGAUGAAAAGAAUGAUGAAAAUGACAAUGUGUAAAGUAAAGUAAAGUGGGGCAAUAAGAACAAGUAUUGUAACGAACAAGAAUGCUAGAGUUAGCAAGAGUAAAGAAAUGUAAAGAAUCGUAAUUCAUGAGUUUGCAACAUAAAGUGAUGUGAAGAAGAACACUAGCAGCUAUGUGUAAAGUCGAAGAUUGAACUUAAAUCCUUUGACGUUAAGGAUAGUCAUACUUUGCUAUGAGUUCCGUGCUCCGAGGUCGUCGGCUCCCCCUCGGGCGUAUGCGCUCCGGAGUGGUUGGCAUCCGGUCGGAGUAACCGAAGGACGGUCUCUAGCUGGUGGUUCUGCUGCGAUGAAUGGGACUUAAUGUGAAGCAGUCAAUUGUGCGCGAUUACCCCGGGUAGCCUUGAGAUUUAAAGAACAAAGAGUAAAGAACAAAGAUACAAGAACAAAGAGCAAGAUAAAGACACACAGUACAAAGUAAAGCAAAUAACGAAAAAGCAAUUCGCAUAAUCUGCAUUUAUUUACAUGUUAUGAGACUAACUUCUAUUGCUUAUUGUUCAGCAUAUUACAUCAUUGUAUAAUAGAUUGUACUCAUACAGCUUAUUCUUAUCUCUAUGCGCUGGAGUUAGUCCAGUGGGGCAAGUCGGUGAUGUUGAGGCCGAACCACUGGGAAACUUUUGUUGUAUGUUCUCACCGCCACUAUUUCAACGAAGAGGCCGGGACAGCGAGCGCCGAUGGCGACCAGGUAAACGUAUCCGACUUAGUCACAGGCCACCACAGUUGGGUUCAUUUGUAGUCAAAGUACCCUAUGUCCAUCCUUUUGUACUUGAUGAUGAAAUGAUGUAAAGAAAAAAAUAUAAUGUGUCAUUUUUGAGGUAAAUUGUCGAAAUUGAAGAAAGGAAAAAUGAUGAAACGAAAUGUAAGGAUUCGAAAAUUUACAAGUUGGAUGUAUGUAAGCAUACCAGAUCUUUGUAUCCAAAAUAAAAUAACAUAAAAAUAGUGUGAAAACUAUUUUUAUUGGGAUUGUAGAAGUAAAAUAUAUGGUAGAAGUGACUUUAUGCUGAAAUCGGAAUGAAAACAGAAGAUCUAGAAUUUUCUGUUGGAAACGGA